rnacentral:lncRNA from 1 species
CAGAAACGAUCAGAUUCAUCAUAUCUUCUAAAAUUAUGACAUGAUAAACUUCUAAAAGGAGACGAUAAUUGAAUAAUAUGUCUAGUAGAUUCAUCAUAUCUUCCGCUGACAUAUGAGUUUGAUACUAAGCAAUAACUAAAAUUCUUUAAUCAGCUGCAUCAAGGAACACAAAAGCUAAGCACCAUUUUAUAGCUUUGACACUUUGAAAUGACAAAUAGCAACUAAAGGGACAACAAACACAAACCCUAGCUGAGGUAAAAGUAAGCUCUAUAUUCAGUAUCUUGCAACCUGAAUACAAUCAACAAACCAUAGAAAAAUAAGCAAACAGAGUUCAAGCUCCUUAAUAAGCAACGACGCCCAAGAGAAGUGCCAAAACAAAAGCCAAUAAUCAAACCCAUGAACUAUAAGAAUCAAAUACACGACUAAGAAUCCAAUAAUCAAACCCAUGAACUAUAAGAAUCCAAUAAUCAAACCCAUGAAAAAUUAUAGCCGCUCAAAUACACACAAAUAAUUCUAUGAAAAACCCAUGAAAGAUUAUAGCCUAUAAGCAUCAUAAACUCAAUACAAAACCUAUGAAUCUUACCUUAAACUAACGGCGAGAGAUUCGGCGGAGAGAACGGCGAGAGAUCCGGCGGAGAGAAACGGUCGGCGAAGUGGACGGCCGGCGAGAGAUCCGGCGGAGAGAGAGAGCUGAUUUUGUUUGUAAAGAGAACAAAAACAGAGAAUCGUCGACGAAUGAAAGAGAAGAGGAUUAGGUUUUAGGAGUGAAAUUUUCUAAACUAAGUAGGGGUAUUUAGGUCAUUUUCUAUUUUAGACUGAAUCAGCUCCAGUUAACUGCUCCGAUCAGACUCAGCCGGAUUCCAAUCAUUUUUUGGAUGAGUUUAUUAAAAAUCAUCCAACUGCUCCAUCUCACUGCACUGUUAAAUUGCUCUAAACGAACAUCAAUAUUCAUCUCCAUUCAGCUGGAUCAUCUGAAUGGAGAAACGAACAGCACCUUAGUAGAAUUACGUUAUUUCUUUUUAAUUCACAAUUUCAUAUAUCUUCAGUUCUUCAUUACCCAUUAAAAAUAAUUUACUUUUUUGGGUCAAAAGUUAAAAUUUUAUUACGCCAACAAAAAUGUAAAGACUAAUCAUAUUCAUAUAACCUUCAUUCAAUAAAUGGCUCAUGGGUGAAGAAGGUGGUGGGUAGUAGCGUGGGGGGGAGGUUACUCCCAGAGAGAGUGAUAGAUGAUGGCUUCGUGACGGAGAGAUUGCAUCUGACUUUCCCGGAUGGUGAGGAUGGGGAACCAGAGAUUACAAUCGAGAGGGAAGUUUUGGAAGCCAUGAAUGGUCUUUGGAAGCAGUGCAUGAUUGUGAAGGUACUCGGGAGGAACGUUUCGAUUGCAGCCCUUAACCGUAAGCUGAGGGAGUUGUGGAAUCCGAAAGGUAUGAUGUCGGUUAUGGACUUGCCUCGCCAGUUCUUUAUGGUUCGGUUCGGGUUGGAGGAGGAGUAUCUCGCGGCCUUAACGGGAGGACCAUGGAGAGCGUGUGGGAGUCAUCUUACAGUUCAAGCGUGGUCACCNNNNNNNNNNNNNNNNNNNNNNNNNNNNNNNNNNNNNNNNNNNNNNNNNNNNNNNNNNNNNNNNNNNNNNNNNNNNNNNNNNNNNNNNNNNNNNNNNNNNNNNNNNNNNNNNNNNNNNNNNNNNNNNNNNNNNNNNNNNNNNNNNNNNNNNNNNNNNNNNNNNNNNNNNNNNNNNNNNNNNNNNNNNNNNNNNNNNNNNNNNNNNNNNNNNNNNNNNNNNNNNNNNNNNNNNNNUCACACGCCGGUUUGGGUGAGAUUAUCGAACUUACCGGUGAAUUUUUACCAUCGAUCAAUCCUGAUGGGCAUCGCUAGAGGUUUGGGGAAACAUAUUAGGGUUGAUUCAACGACGCUUAACUUUGAAAGAGCCCGGUUUGCAAGAGUUUGUGUGGAAGUGAACCUUGCUAAACCUCUCAAGGGAACUGUGAUGGUCAAUGGAGAUAGGUACUUUGUGGCAUAUGAAGGAUUGACGAAUAUUUGUUCGUCUUGUGGGUUGUAUGGGCAUCUUGUUCAUACAUGUCCUAAGGUGAGAUCAGAAAAACCGGUGGAGAUGUCACAAAGCACGAGUCGGGAAGAGGUACGGGGGACCCAGGCGGAGAAUGAUGGGUUUACAGUUGUCCGGCGGUCGGGGAGGAGACCGGGAAAACAAACGGGGAACGCGGUGGUUGGUGCUGAUAAUUCAGGAGCAGAUUUGGGAAGGAAUCUGAAGGAGAUCUCCACAAAUCUCGUAACAGCAAACAGAUUUGGGGAAUUAUAAGUUGAUAUGGUAUCUGCGGAAUUAAGGGAAGUACCUAUUUUAUUGGAGGGAAAUAAGGAAAACGGGGUUGUGGUAAAUCAGACAAAUAAAGGCAAGAGUGUGUCGCAAGGUCCAAGUGGCGUAGGAGGAGAGUCUCGGGGUAAAGGACAGGAAGGAGCAUGUAAUGGGCCUAAGGGCAAACGGACUGGGCUUGGUAAGCCUAAUGUGGUUAACGGGCCAAGAUUAAAACAGAGUGUGGUCAAUAGGCCAACACGUGGACUAGUUUUCGGCCCACCAAGGGAAGAAAUGGUAUUGUCGGCAUCUGGGAAGCGGCUUUGUGUUGAAAACAGAGUUGCGGGACGCCCAGGAGGAUUUUUUGGAGUAGAAGGUGCCCGGAAUCAAACGAAGGAGACAUUAUUGGAGGAGCGGGAUAAUGUACUUGGGAAUGUUAGUAUGCCGCUGCCAAUUGAGCAGUCGGGUCGGGAAUUGGAAGUGCAGAGUCCUCCGCAGACGGAGGCGGGAAUGACGGUGGCAUAAUGUUUGUCCCCGGGGGUUCGAAUCUUGUUUUGCAAAUUAUCAAUGAAUUGCUUAUUUUGGAAUUGCGGGGGGGGGGGGCGAAUAAACCUAAUUUUAGAAGAUCCAUACGAUAUAUGUUGAAGAAAUUCAAUACCGAUAUCUUGGCGAUCUUUGAGACACAUGCGAGUGGUGAUGCUGCGAGUCGGAUUUGUAGGGGACUUGGUUUUGAGAAUUCUUUUCUAAUUGAUGCAGCUGGUCAGAGUGGUGGACUAUGGUUACUUUGGCCGUUCCACGGUGGGGACGGUGACUAUUGAGAACUCCUCUGAUCAGUUCAUACAUGCGUUGGUGGAGAAUGAACAAUNNNNNNNNNNNNNNNNNNNNNNNNNNNNNNNNNNNNNNNNNNNNNNNNNNNNNNNNNNNNNNNNNNNNNNNNNNNNNNNNNNNNNNNNNNNNNNNNNNNNUCCAGGCUUCGAAAUUGAGUGGUGUAAUGAGCUAUCCCUAACCGAUAUGGGUUUAGAGGUAACAAGUUCACAUGGCGGAGAGGGAAGGAGGAGAGUACGUUUGUUGCAAAAAGAUUGGAUAGAGUUUUGUGUUGCGCCAAAGCGAGAUUGAAGUGGUAGGAGGCAAUCAUCUCUCAUUUACCUUUCUUAGCUUCGGACCAUGCCCCGAUCUAUGUACAACUAUGUCCUGAAGGGAGGGGAGACCCGAGUAGAAGACCAUUUAGGUUCGAAGCUACGUGGAUGAAACAUGAGAGUUUCAAAGAACUAAUUUCACAGUCCUGGAAUGGUGAGAUUGGGACUCAAGAAGCUUUAAAUCGGUUGCGGAGAACGCUCAAGAGAUGGAACAAUGAGGUUUUUGGGGAUGUGCAGAAGAGAAAGGAGGCAUUAAUCUCUAAAAUUAAAUUGGUCCAGGAUGAGCUAGAGACGAAUCAAACAGAUGGGCUGUUAAAGAGAGAGGAUGAACUGCUAAAAGAAUUUGAGGAGGUUCUAGAGCAGGAAGAAGUAAUCUGGUUUCAAAAAUCAAGAGAGAAGUGGAUCGCCUUGGGAGAGAGAAACACCAAAUACUUCAACACAUCUACCAUUAUCCGGAGAAAAAGAAACCGUAUCGAAAGUUUAAAGAAUGAUGAUGGAGUUUGGGUCACAGAUGGAGCGGACUUGGAGAAGAUGGCGGUGGACUAUUAUACAUGACUUUACUCCAUGGAUAAUGUUGAACAGGUGGUUAUAAGCCUACCUUUGGCAGGAUUUGUACGGUUAACACAGGCGGAGCUGCGAGCUUUGAAUUUACCUUUUACGGCGGCGGAAGUGGAAGAUGCAAUACGCCGUAUGGGACAAUUUAAAGCUUCGGGGCCAGAUGGGUUUCAACCAGGGUUCUAUCAACACUGUUGGGAUGUGGUGGGAAAUUCAGUGACCAAGUUUAUGCUAGAUUUCUUCGCGACAGGGGUGUUACCGUGUGAGACGAAUGAUGCUUUGUUGGUGUUAAUUGCUAAGGUGGAGAAACCGGAACGCAUAACACAGUUUCGACCUAUAAGUCUAUGUAAUGUGUUAUUCAAAACAAUUACAAAGACUAUGGUGAUAAGGCUAAAGGCGGUGAUGCCUAAGCUAAUAGGUCCAGCUCAAGCUAGCUUUAUCCUCGGUAGAUUAAGCACAGAUAACAUAGUGAUUGUACAAGAGGCGGUACACUCAAAUGCGAGAAAGAAGGUCGUAAAGGGUGGAUGUUAUUGAAACUUGACCUUGAGAAGGCGUAUGACCGUAUUCGUUGGGACUUUCUUGAAGACACUUUGCGGGCUGCACAGUUACCAGAACAAUGGAUUAAUUGGAUUUUGCAGUGUGUUAAGGGUCCAAAGAUGAAUGUGUUAUGGAAUGGAGAGAAAACGGCUGACUUUAAACCACUGAGAGGACUAAGGCAAGGAGAUCCAUUAUCCCCGUAUCUCUUUGUACUAUGCUUGGAAAGACUAUGUCAUCAAAUUGAGUUAUCGGUCGGUGCAAAAGAAUGGAAGGCGAUUAGUUUAUCUAUGAGAGGACCGAAGCUAUCGCACAUUUGCUUUGUAGAUGAUCUUAUUCUUUUUGCGGAAGCCUCGGUUGCUCAAAUUAAAGUCAUAAGGAAGGUUCUUGAAACGUUUUGCAUUGCAUCAGGUCAGAAAGUUAGCUUGGAGAAAUCUAAGAUUUUUUUCUCUACUAAUGUGCAUCGGGAUCUAGCUGAACUGAUAAGCGACGAAAGUGGAAUUAAAUCGACUCAUGACCUUGGCAAAUACUUAGGAAUGCCUAUUCUACAGAAGAGGAUCAAUAAGGAUACGUUUGGGGAAAUCAUUCAACGAGCAAAUUCUCGGUUAUCAGGUUGGCGGGGUAGAUUUCUGAGUUUUGCGGGAAGACUUACUCUCACUAAGGCAGUUCUCUCCUCACUCCCAGUACACUCCAUGAGCACGAUACUUCUCCCAAGUUUGGUACUUGACAAGUUGGAUCAAUUGUCAAGGUCGUUUCUAUGGGGUAGCACGCCGGAAAAAAGAAAACAGCACCUAAUUGGAUGGGAUCGGGUCUGUUUGCAUAAAUCGGAGGGUGGACUUGGUAUUCGAAUGGCGAAAUAUAUGAAUAAAGCCCUGUUGGCGAAGGUAGGGUGGCGUUUAAUACACGAUAAAAGCAGUCUCUGGUCCCGAGUGUUAAGACAUAAAUAUAAGGUAGGAGAUGUUAAAGAUCCAUCAUGGUUGAAGCUGAAGGGGACAUGGUCUUCAACAUGGCGAAGCGUAGGUGUUGGGUUGCGAGAUGUGGUGCUCCCGGGUAUAAGUUGGGUCCUUGGCGAUGGGAGAGUGAUUAAUUUCUGGUCGGAUAAAUGGGUUUCAAGGAAACCUUUGUUGGAGUUAGCGGUGACAGAUAUACCAUUAAAUGAGUUGAAUGUGACUGUUAAGGAUCUAUGGCGGGAUGGUAUAGGCUGGGACCUAUCUCGAGUUGAGCCUUUUGUGUCUAAUAACACAAAAUUGGAGUUAAUAUCGCUGGUUGUGGACAAUGUUACCGGGGUAGUGGACCGUAUAUCAUGGGGAGAAUCACCAGAUGGGCAGUUUAGUGUCAAGUCUGCGUACUCAUUGUUGACUAAGGAUGAUUCGCCUAAGCCUCAGCUUGGGAAAUUGUUUGCGUGUGUGUGGAAAGUUGAAGCUCCAGAACGAGUAAGUAUUUUCCUAUGGUUAGUGAUUCAUCAAGUCAUAAUGACGAAUGUGGAGCGUCACCGGAGACAUCUUGUCGACUUUGGGUUAUGUCAGGUUUGUAAAAGCGGAGAUGAAUCAAUCCUCCAUGUUCUGCGUGACUGUCCGGCCAUGGCGGGUAUAUGGCAGCGGUUAGUGGCUCCGAGACGGGUACAAUCUUUCUUUGGUAAAACCCUUUUGGAGUGGAUGUACAUGAACUUGAGUAAUGAGAAAGAAGUUGACGAGGUGAAAUGGGCUACGCGUUUUGCUAUGGCUGCUUGGUGGGGCUGGAAGUAGCGUUGCGGGAAUGUAUUUGAUAAUCACGGGAGAUGUAGAGAUCGGGUACGGUUUGUCAAGGACUUGGCCAAGGAAGUAGCUGUGGCUUUUAAUAAUUCUCGAGCGCGAGCUAGUGGUGUUGCGAGAGAAGAGAGGUUAAUAGCGUGGGUCCCUCCUGGUGACGGCUGGGUCAAGCUCAAUACGGAUGGGGCGUCACACGGGAACCCGGGGCUAGCGUCAGCGGGAGGGGUGUUGCGUGAUGGCCAAGGAAACUGGAAAGGAGGGUUUGCUUUGAAUAUUGGCAUCUGUACGGCACCACUUGCCGAACUUUGGGGAGUUUACUAUGGUCUAUAUAUAGCUUGGGAGCGUGGAAUACCGCGACUGGAGCUUGAAAUAGACUAGGAGAUGGUUGUUGGUUUCCUGACGAAAGGAAUAGGUGAUUCUCACCUCCUUUCUUUCCUAGUACGUUUGUGCUAUGGCUUCAUUUCGAGGGACUGGAUAGUCCGUAUUACCCAUGUGUAUAGGGAAGCUAAUCGUCUUGCGGACGGAUUAGCUAACUAUUCGUUUUCACUUCCUUUAGGUCUUCACUUGUUUACCUCUCAGCCUCAUAUUGUUAAUCAGAUUGUUUUAGAGGAUGCUAACGGGACUGCACGCCCGAGAAACAUUUGUUUGUAGUUUAAUUUUCUUUUUUAAUAAAUUGGGGAAGCAAUUGCCACCCCCUCUCCUACCAAAAUAAAAAAUAAAAAAAAUAAAUGGACCAUUACUCCACGAGUUUGUGGGAAACACACGCCAGCAGCUCUCGACGGCCCGUUUCCAUGCCUUUAUUAUCCCAUCACGUUGACCCCACAGACGUAAAAAGUCAAAACCUGCCAUUAAUCUUUACUAUUAAAUAUUUCAUGAUUUAAAAAGAGAAUAAGCCGUGGACAACAAUUUUUCUACAACAUUUCCGUUGUAUUUACACUUUCCAACUAUAGUCGAUAAAAUUGUAAUAAAAAAACGUAUUAAUCUACAGAAAAUUCAGUGUUAAAUAAAGACUCAACAAACUUGUCCAUUAAUAGAAGAACUUUACCAGAUUAAAACCACUCCUCCACUCGAUUAUUAAUAUUUUUUUAUAGAAUUAAGAUACGAUGACGUGUCCAUGAAACAUGAGCUCAGUGGCACGCAACGUAAUAGAAAACGACAAAAGUAAAAAAGAGAAAGGCACAUGUCCGAACUCACGUGUCCACUUAAACGCACCACUUCUUCUGUGCUCUCCACGCGCCUCCUUCUUCCCCCACACGCCCCUCCCGAGUCCCGACCUUCUUCCUUUUAUUUUCCUUUUCCUCCAAACAUUUCUCAGAUUCUCUCGUAAGCUUUGUUAUUUCUUCUCCUCGUUUCGAAUCCUAAUUGUCUUCAAUUUCCGACGAGAUUCUCACCGGAGAAAAGGUAUAUUUUCUGAGCCUUUUUGUGUUCCGAUUUAAGCUGUGAGAACUUAGCCGUAGUAUUUUUUUUGAUAAAUCUUUCACUGUUUGAUUUGACAAGAAUAUGGGUAAUAAAGACAGAAUCUAAAACCACUUGUCUUCAGUUUUUGAGGAAUCAAAAUCACUCAAAAGUUUUGUUUUUUUGUCUCUGCUCCCAUGUCUCUUGAUGGGUUUGUACUUAUUUGACAUUAGGUGUUUGAUUUUAAAGAUGAAUGAUUUAUCAGAUUUAUCUUAUCUCUAAAUUUCAGGUGACUUGACAGAGAAUCUUGUUCUUUUAACAAAAGCAAAAGAUGGCAUCGAAAACUCCUUCCACAUCGUCUGAUGAAGCAAAUGCUACUGCAGAUGAAAGGUGAUUCUUUUAACAGAUUAUGGAACUCUUUAUCUUUGUUUAUGGUGAUCGAUUAUGUUUAGUAUAUAAAACAGAUGUAGAAAAGGUAAAGUACCCAAAAGGAUUAACAAGGCUGUUCGUGAGAGGCUUAAGCGCGAGCAUUUGAAUGAGCUUUUCAUCGAAUUAGCUGAUACUCUUGGUAAAUUUCACAUCUUUCAAUCUUCCAUAGAUUUGAAUGACCAAUUGCUUGAGUGGGUCAGAUUUUGAAUGUGAUUGUGAUAUCUAACUGUGAACAUUGAACAUUGUCUUUGUUGCAGAACUGAAUCAACAGAAUAGUGGGAAAGCUUCUAUACUAGGCGAAGCUACUCGGUUUUUGAAAGACGUGUUUGGUCAAAUCGAGUCUCUUAGAAAGGAGCACGCUUCUCUCCUCUCUGAAUCUAGCUAUGUAAGUCACUUACUAUAUGCACAUUGAUUGUGUUUAUGUACUCUUUUGACAUGGAUCAAGAAGUUACUUAAGUCUAUGUUUAUAUGUUUGUGUAAAUGGUCUUGUUGAUGGAAACUGGUGUUGUGUGUAGGUAACCACAGAGAAGAAUGAGCUCAAGGAAGAAACAUCAGUGCUUGAGACUGAAAUCUCGAAACUACAAAACGAGAUAAAAGCAAGAGCAAGUCAGUCGAAACCUGACUUGAACACCUCUCCUGCACCCGAGUACCAUCAUCAUCAUCAGCAUCCUGAACUUGCAUCUCAGUUUCCAGGACUUCCCAUUUUCCAAGGGCCCGGCUUUCAACAAUCUGCUGCAACUUUUCCUCCUCCUGCAACAGUUCUUGUCCUUCCGAUACAACCCGAUCUCCAGACACAAGAUAUCUCAGAAAUGACAGGGCGUUUGCAGACACAAGCGCAGCCUUUGAUGUAUAAUACCUCAAAUGUGAGUAAGCCAUGUCCAAGGUAUGCUAGUGCGGCUGACUCGUGGUCUUCUCGGCUACUUGGGGAGCGAUUGAAAGCCAGUGAAUAAGGUCUUGAGCGGCUCCACAUGGAGUAGCAACACAAGUUAAGACAUGGCAACAACUUAUGAAGGACCCUGGUUUUGUAUUUUUAACAUCAUCUGAUGUCCUUGUGGGUUUGGCCUUGGCCAUUUCUUGUUUUUGAUGUGGCUAUUCAUAGGAUCAGGAAGUUAUGGCCUUUACUUUAUGGGUCGUUUGAGAUAAAUAAGUAAAUUAGCUCUAACCAUUGUCCUUUUCUUUUAUCUUAAGAUUCUAAAACAACACAGAAACAUAACACAAAAAUAUCAAAUUUUCUUGAAAGAUAAAAGCUUUCUAAAUGGAAACAGAAAUGUGAAAUUGGGUUUAAAGAAAACCGGUUAAUUGGUUGUGGUUUGGAUUGGUUUAAAACGGUUAUAGAAAAAUGAUGGUAUUUUGGUAAAAUAGGCACUUGAGAAAAAGAGAAGAGAGGAGCCAUCUUAUCUGCUAUCGAGUGGGUAAGAAGAACCAGAAAACAGAAAAUGGCGAAUUCACUAUGCUUCUUCUCUUCUCCUCCUACUUUUUGCUUCCAAUCUCCCAGCAAAAACCCUAAACCUUCUCACUUCUUCUCAACUAAUGAUAACACCUCUUCCUUGGUCCAGAAGAGAGAACUGCUUCAGACUUCAAGAUCCCAAAGUUUUGAAGUUAAGGUUUGAAUUUUCCCAAACUCUUCUCCUCACUAUCAAAAUUUGCUUACUUCAUUUGCCAUUUCGUUAAUGCAAAAUCUCAUUUUGUGGUAUCAAUAGGCCGCAAACAAUAAUCCUCAGAGCACUAAACCGAACAGUUUAGUUUGUGCAAAUUGUGAUGGGAACGGUAAGUUCUUACCCAACCAGUUUACAAUUCUCUUAGUUUAGUAAAAUUGACAAAAGAUUUUGUGUAAAUGUUAUCAAAGGUUGUGUGGCAUGUUCUCAAUGCAAAGGAGGUGGUGUGAAUUUGAUUGAUCAUUUCAAUGGUCAGUUUAAAGCUGGUGCACUCUGUUGGCUUUGCAGGUUUGCAACAUCUUAUCUCCUUUCUUCUAUACAAAAACUCCAAAAAAAUUCAUUACUUAAUAUCCUUUUCUUGAAUUUCUUGUGGGCAGAGGUAAAAAGGAGGUGUUGUGUGGGGACUGCAAUGGAGCUGGUUUCAUUGGUGGGUUCUUGAGCACCUUUGAUGAGUAGUUCAAAAUAGCUUCUUCUGGAUACUCAGAAACACUCUUUUUAUAAACUUUAGAAGAAGUAAAUCUUUCUCUCUAUCAAUGCUCUUCUAUACCAAAAACAUGUAUUACUAUUUGUUAUUGCACACCAAACUUUUAUUGUAUUGUUGUUUUUCAGAUCCUUCUCUCCUUUUUUUUGUCUUCUACAAAUUGAAAUAUUGUUAAAGUUUAUAGCACUUCUUUGGAAGUCUUGUUGAUGGCUUGAAAUGUUGAAAUGGUUAGGAGAAGAAUUAAUUACAGUUUUAUUCUAUUUAUUUACAUUGAAACAGAGUGUUUUUAUAUCAUCCUAGUAUCUAUCUAACCCAAUGAUAUUAUUAUUCUUAAGAUUUUUUUUUUUAAAAUUUGAUAUAUUUGAUUUGGUUGUUUAACAUAAACUGAUGUUAUAUCAUGAGUAAAUAAAAAUAGGCACAUAAUAAGAUAGAUAAAACUGAAAAAAACAUUGCACCUGAAAAAACGAGAAGGAAUGGAAACAACUGUAAAUAACAGAUAAACGCAUCUGAGACCAACAAAAGGAGAAGACACAGACCUUUUUCUCUUAUUACCUGUUGUUGUUGUCGUCGUCGCUGGGUCAGAAUCUCGUUGUUGUUGUGUUUUUCUUUUCUCUCGCUCUCCAUUUCGAAUCCAGCACAAAUCUGUCUGAUUCUUGGGAAAAGUCAAGUCAGAAACCUAGACGGGAAGACAAGGAUAUCAGUUCGUCUCUUACGGAUAUACCCAUAAAUUGCUCCAAGCUCAACAUCUGUUUGUUCCAUAAUUUCAAUACGAAUCGAUUUGUUCCACAAAUGUUUUUUCCGUAAUCGUUGCGUGUCGACCAAGGAACUAGGUGCGUUUCUCUCUGAUCUUUGAUCAUCAAUCCCGUUUUGUGUAAUUAAUGAUUAGGUCAUUUCUUAUUUUCCAAGGUAGGUCAGGGAAAUUGAUGAACGCAAAUGCGAUUCCAUAGGAGCAAUCAGCAGUUAUUAGACGUCCCGAUGAGGUUUUCGAUUCGAUAAAGAACCUUUGGAAAUAGAAGGCAAAAGGGGUUUUAUUAUAUGGGGCGAGCAUUGGAAUCAUCUGGUGCUCAAAACUUAGAAUGGCUUGUUUCCAGAGAAGUGUCCCACAGAGAGGGAGAAUGAGCAGGUUUGUUCCAGACUCUCUUACAAUCUUUAGUAAAAGAUUAUCUUCAAUUCCUAAAGUAUGAUUCUUCUUUUUGGCAUAAAACUUGGUUCAGGCGAUAGCGAUUCUCAAGAAAGGAGCUUAUCUAUUGAAAUACGGCCGUCGUGGGAAGCCUAAAUUCUACCCUUUUCGGCUUUCAAGUGUACCAUUCAUAACCUUCAAUCACAGUUUAUUUCAAAGCUGAAGGUUGUGAUUUGAUAGUGGUUUUCUCAAAUGUUUAUGCAGGAUGAAAUAUAUUUGUUAUGGUAUUGUGGUAAAAAGGAGAAACGUCUUAAGCUGAGUUCUGUGACAAGGAUCAUACCUGGACAGCGAACUGUAAGUUAAAAUGUAUGAAUCAUUUUAUCUGGUAACUGUUUGGCUGCAGAUUUCUGAACAGAUGAAUGUUAUUGUAAGAACUUUUCCAGGCAGUUUUCCGACGAUACCCUCAACCCACCAAGGAAUAUCAAUCCUUUUCUCUUAUAUAUGGCGAACGGUCUCUCGAUUUGGUUUGUAUUUUGCUCUCCCUGACAAGUAUUAGCUGUCUUCUAAGAACCAUAUAGUCUUACUACUGAAUAAUACGCAUUUACUGAAACAUCUUGGAUAGGUAUGCAAGGACAAGGAUGAAGCUGAGUUUUGGCUCACAACACUUCGCGCUCUUCUCUCACGAAACAACUCUUCUUCUGCAUUGGUACUUCACUCAAGAAGCCGUAGUUUUGCUCCUGAAAAUGGAGAACAAAGUAGUACGAGCAAGAACUCUAAGUCCAACAUCAGAUCUGUCAGCAGUGACACAAGCUACGAGGUUUUGCUGGUUUUUUUCUUUCUUCAGGAGAGGACCAUAUGGUUGUUUAAUUUCCUACUUAAUAUCAUAUCUUAUCUGGCACUUUUGCAGGAACAUGCAAAAAAGGCCUCAGGAUCACACUGCAACACUCCACAGAGACUGGGGAAAGUUUUCUCAGAGGUUUUGUCACAAACUGCAGUACUAAAGGCACUCUCUUUGGAUGAACUGGUUCAUAAACCUCAUACUUCGCCUCCAGAGGCUAUAGAGAAUCGAUCUACUAAUCACUCCCCUGCCGUUGAUACAAGUAAAUAUAGCGUUUCCAGCGCAGUGAGCUCAUCUAGUCAAGGCUCAUGUUUUGAAGACUUGAAGUCUCUCUGUGAUGUCUUUGUUUGGGGAGAAAGUAUUGGAGAUGGGCUACUAGGAGGUGGCAUGCAUAAAAGUGGCAGCAGCUCUUCUCUGAUGACUGAUUCUUUUUUACCCAAAGUCUUGAAAUCACAUGUGGCACUUGAUGCACAGAGCAUUUCUUGCGGCACCAAUUAUGCAGUGUUAGUCACAAAGCAGGGACAAUUGUACAGCUGGGGAGAAGAAUCUGGGGGCAGGUUAGGACAUGGAGUUUGUUCCUACGUUCCACACCCAAAGCUUAUCGAUGAAUUUGACGGAUCAACGGUAGAGUUAGCUGACUGUGGGGAAUUUCAUACCUGUGCUGUAACAACCUCAGGGGAUCUAUAUGCUUGGGGUGAUGGAGACCACAAUGCCGGUCUCCUUGGACUUGGUAGUGGAGCUAGCCAUUGGAAACCGGUACGAAUUCUCGGUCAGAUGGAAGGUAUAAAUGUAAGAACUAUAUCUUGCGGACCUUGGCAUACAGCUUUUGUGACAUCAGCAGGUAAGCUAUUUACAUUUGGUGAUGGUACUUUUGGUGCGCUUGGACACGGUGAUCGUAUAAGCACAAACAUUCCUAGAGAAGUAGAGGCGCUAAAUGGCUGCAGAACAAUAAGGACAGCUUGUGGCGUUUGGCAUUCAGCCGCUGUUGUCAGUGUUUUCGGUGAGGCCUCAUCAUCAGGAAAGCUCUUUACUUGGGGUGAUGGAGAUGAUGGGAAACUCGGACAUGGUGAUAUAGCGUCUAGACUAAUCCCAUUGAGUGUAACUGAACUGGAUACAACUAGCUUUCAACAGGUAGCUUGUGGCCAGAGCAUAACUGUUGCUCUCUCUAUGUCUGGACAAGUUUAUGCUAUGGGAACUGCUGAUCCGAGUCAGGAUGAUGUUGUGAGAGCUCCUUCUUGUAUUGAAGGGGGUCUAGGAAAGAGUUUUGUCCAAGAAGUGGCUUGCGGGUAUCACCAUAUCGCGGUUUUGAAUUCGAAAGCUGAGGUCUACACUUGGGGCAAAGGAUCAAACGGACAGCUUGGGCAUGGAGACACUGAAUAUAGACGCAUGCCGACUCUUGUGAAAGCUUUAAAAGGUAAACAAGUGAGAAAAGUGGUGUGUGGUUCUAAUUACACAGCAACCAUUUGUCUUCACAAACCAAUUACGGGUACUGAUAGUUCUAGGUGCUCUGGUUGUCGCCAUCCUUUUAAUUACAUGAGGAAGCUUCACAACUGUUAUAACUGUGGGAGUGUCUUCUGUAAUUCAUGCACUAGUAAGAAAUCCUUAGCAGCAGCUAUGGCUCCCAAGACGAACAGGCCUUACCGUGUUUGUGAUGACUGCUAUAUCAAACUCGAAGGAAUUAGAGAAUCUUUAGGAACUCCAGCAAAUAGUGCCAGGUUUUCAAACGCAAGUCUACCAUCUAGCAGUAACGAGAUGGAUGAAAUUGGUACAACACCGCAGCGUCAGCUUCUUCAUAGGGUGGAUUCAUUUGAUUUCUUCAGACAAACUAAGAUCCCGGACCUGAAAACCAUUGGUGAAACUUCAGGAACAAGCUGCACGUCGUCGACUCACUCAAAUAUGGAUAUUAAAGGUAGUUUCAACCUGAAAGGCAUACGACGACUCUCCAGGCUAACCUCUUUUGAUUCAGUUAAAGAAGAAGGCAAACAACGUUCCAAGCAUUGCGCUUCGAAAUCAGACACAUCCUCUCUUAUAAGACACUCAGUGACGUGUGGUCUCCCAUUUUCACGUAGAGGUUCUGUUGAGUUGUUUCCUUUAUCGAUAAAAUCCAGCCCGGUUGAAUCUGUUGCAACUACUUCAGACUUCACAACCGACAUUACAGAUCAUGAUUUACUGCAAGAAGUGCCAAAGAAAUCCAAUCAGUGCCUGAGCCAUGAAAUAUCAGUACUCAAAGCACAGGUUAGUCCAACCACUUAUCCCAUAUUGAAUCAAAUGUAGCUUAAGGUAUUGUAGAUGAAGACAAGUAAAAACUUUUAACACUCAGGUGGAAGAGCUUACUCUAAAAUCGAAAAAACUAGAAGCCGAACUAGGAAUGACAUCGAAGAAGCUUGAAGUCGCAGUACUAAUGGCGCGUGAUGAUGCAGAGAAGAUCAAAUCAUCAGAAGAGAUAGUCAGAUCCCUAACACUGCAGGUACAUUACAUUCUCAUUGUUUUUGAAAUAUGCUUCUUGAGCUCCGAGAUUUCAAUCAUUUUCUUCUUCUUCCAGUUGAUGAACGCUACCAAGAAAGAAGUAGACAAGACAAGAAGACGCCGGAACUCGUUUUGAUUUAAACCUUUUUAACUUAUAGAGAACAACCUCUAAUUUGAUCAAAGUAAGUGAAUAGAUUGACAAUUCAAUGGGGUUGAAUGUAAAAUACAAGAAACAAAAGAUUUCUCUUUUAUCAAAUUACAUACAUCAAUGUAGUAGUUACUUACAGAGCAAGAACAGAGAGCUCACAAACACACUUAUAUAUUCGAAAUUGACAAACAGAGAAAAAAAAAAAGUUCAAACCUUUAUGAUUGGUUUAGUGAAGAAUCAACAAAAGCUUCUUCAUUUGGCUAACAAUGGCCAAGCUAAUACUCAUCAUCUGAUUCGCCAUCUCCAUCUCUUUCUUAAUCUCAUUCCCUACAAUUGUUCCCAUUUCUUCAAUCCCAUCGGAACAAGUCUCACCGUCAGUCAUGGCGGCGCUGAUCCAAGUCUUAACAUCUCCGACGACUUCUUUAGUCAACCAAUUCGCUCCUUUCUUCUUCUCUUUCUCAAUCUCUGUAAUCGAAUCGUUGAGUUGACUCAACGCGUCGGUGUAAAGCUUCACACAAUCACCAACCGCUGCGUCUUCAGGCAUAUCGUUGAUAGAUCGGAAAGAGAUAGAGAGGUUUGAGAGAUUUUUAACAGCGACACGAAGAGAAAGCUCGAGGAUUGAUUCAGGGUUAAGAUUUGAAUCUGAUUCGUUGAGAGAAGAAGAUAGAGAACUGAAACAAGUCUCUGGGUAACGAGUCACGGCGCAGACUGAUUUGAGUGAAGCGGAGGAGAUGGGAGGAUGGUGUGGAGGAGGAUGAGUGAAAACUCCGGCGGUUAAAGCGACGACGGCGAGGAUUAAGAGGAGAGAUACGACGGAGACGGUGGCGAUUAGGGUUUUACGAGAAGAUGGUUUUGGAAGUGGAGUAUGAUGAUGAUGAAUUUGGUUUUCUUGGUCGGAUACUUUGUCGUAACCUUUCAAGGUGUUGAUUGAUUCCAUUGAUAAUCGUUUUUUGAUCGGAGUAAAUUGGAAGAAGAAGAUGAAUGAAUCUGUGAUUUUGGGAGAGAAAAAGUCAACAAGAAGAAGUUGAAUAAAUGAAGCUUUGUUGCAUUUAUAAGCGUAAAGCCUAAAGUCACAACGUAUCUCUGUCUUCCACGUCUUCCCUAUUUACCAUUUUCCUACCACGCGGGGAAAUUACUAUAGUUUGGUUGCACAAAAAAACUGUUAUAGUUUUACCGCAGUGCGGUAAAAAGAACGUACUCACUCUGUUUUACAAAUACUGUCAUUCUACGCUUUUUCACACAUAUUAAGAAAACUAUUAAAAUUUCUUUUAUACCCCUUAAUAAUACACUAAACAAAAUUAUCUCUCUUAUUAAUGCAUUAAAAAAAUAGGGUUAAAAGUGAAUUUUUAUUCAAUAUUUUGCAUUGAAAAUACAAAACGACACUCUUUGUGAAACAAAAAUAAAUCUUAAAACGACACUCUUUUUGAAACGGAGGGAGUAUUAUACUAAUGUAUAGUUACUAUAAAAAAAUGGUAUAGAACAUUGUUUGAACAAUGAGUGUGGUGCUGAUAAAAUAAUUAUCAAAUUAUAACUAACUUUAGUAAUAUUUCAAGUGAUUGGUAAGUAUAGUGCGGACCGGACAAUGCAUACCAAUAUUUUAGUAUGCAAAAUGUCAGACUGUAGUAUGGAGCAAACAAUUGUAUGUUGGUAUGGAGUUUAUGUUGGUAUGGAGCUUUUGGGGAGUGAAAUGAAAAAAUGUGGACCAAGAGUGAAUUUAUGAUGGUAUGGAAAAGUAUGCUGAAGUGCAUACUAGUAUGAAGAUUUUUAGUAUGCAACAGUGCAUACUAGUCUGGAAUAGUGAAUGGUGAAUUAAGUGCGUAUUGAUUCGAUUUUAAUCCGGUUGCAACAUAUUAUACAACCAUUCAAAGCCUAUGUCUAUAUAUUUGAUAAAUAUAUGAAACACUUGUAGUUAGAUGUUUUUAAAACGGAGUAUGCGGAUAGAAAAAGCUGGACCAAAUACUUAUAAUUUAAUAAACGUAUGUCUCAUACUUUGCAAAAGGUUGUUGAAUAGUGAAUGGUGAAUUAAGUGCGUACUGAUCCAUGGCUCUUUGUUGUUUGAUGUUUCUUGCAAAUCUCAAUUGUUUUGUUAAAAAAUAAUACUUUUUUUUUUACAUCUUUCUAUUUUUAUGUAUAAUAUUAAUAUAGAAAAAAUGUAACUUCAAAUACCAAGUUUUGAACAAAUGUCUUUUUGUGUGUGUGUUGGUGCUGAAAUCCACACUCGAGAUUUGUACUUAGUUUUUAUGGGCAAAAAGAACUAGACUUUCAAUGAAACUCUGAGAAUUGAAUUGCUAUAAACGAAUGGAUUUUAUUGAUAUGAAUCAAGUGAAUACAGUGGAGAGUAUGUGAAUACAAGUGUUUUUGAGUAUUAGGUUUAAGUAGGCAAGUAGGCGAUGAUCCUCCUUAGGUCGUCCAUCUCUCCUUAUAUAGGUCUUUGAACUAGGUUAGGAGUUCCGAGAUCCGCGCCACUUUCUCCUAAAUAUUAGGUUUGUUCCGAGAUUUUAGCCGACCUGGUCACUCGUCAUUAUCAAGUCGUCUUCUACUCCUUAUGGGCCGCCAGGUCGGGCCUAAUAUGCGAAGCCCGUUAAUAUUUUUGCUGAUGGAUUUCGAGGUGCGAAAUCCAGGUCCAACAGUGUGCUAACGACUGAUUUUUAAAAAAUUUCGAUCACUUUCCGUCUAUUAUUAUUUGUUAAAUUAUGGUUUAAAUCAUAGUUUAGAUCACAUAAUAUAUAUUUUACCGUUUUAAAAAAAAGAACAUAUAUAUAAGUUGUAAUUAUGCUUGUGUAAAUACAACUUAUAUUAUGUGAUCUUUGAACAUAAGUCUAACCUAAUUGUUAUGGUUUAGGGUAACGACAUGCACACAAUUGUUCUCAAAUAAUUCAUAUCUAAAAAACUUUUGUCCAAAUUUUUGUCAAAUAACAUAUUUGUAACUAAUAACAUUGUAGAAAGAUUUGCUGAAAACCUUGAUGAUUUCAUGCGUUAGAUAAUGUCAGAUGAUGUAGUUUCAUUAUGAAAUAGAAAAAUUGUUUGGAUGUGGAUCUUUGCAAUCUAUUUCUCUAAUAUCCACCUAUUUGUAAUAUCCACCUAUUUGAUUAUCGAUUACAACAAAAUUUUUGAUUUCCUUGAAUCUUGCACACUACUAUUAAACUCUCGCUUUAUUGCAUGUCACUCUAAUCUUGAAGAGUUUACCAAUUUGAAAAUUUAUGAAACUGAAAUUUCACUAUUUUACUAUUUCUAAAAUUAUGGCUCAACAUUAUGAAUUUGUUUUGGAUUCACAGUUCUCAAAAAUAUCAAGUUCUUUAAACAUAGCCAAUUUUUUCAAUAAAAAAUUAUUGCUUUUUUCUUAAAAAUCUCAAACCACAUAUUGAUUUUGUUAAUAUAUUUUUGUUGAGGGUUUUUAUUUUAUUUUCCUAUAUCAUUUUAAUUGAGGAUUCUAAAUUAAAUUUGGUGAUUUGAAUUUCAAACUCUUUAAAAACAUCUAUCAAAAACUAAAUUUCUCAUAUAAAUAUGAGUAUUUUUUUUCCUAAAAGUGUUGGUUCACAAAUCACAUCACAACCACAUGAAACAUAAAUAUACAAUUAAAAACAAAUAAUUAAAUAAAAAAAUUAAAAAUUGGCCAUCUUUCCAGUUGCCGCUGCCAGCCGUUUCCUUCUGCUUUUUCACUUUUCCGUUCUCUCUCUCUCUCUCUCUCUCUCUCUCUCUCUCUCUCUCUCUCAAACCUUUUUUUCUCUGCUUCCGUUUCUCCGUUCAAAACAAGAUCGAAUCAUAAAAAGAUUACUCCUUUUUUUCUUCUCGAAAGAAAGGAGAAUUCUUCACGUCUUCUGCUCCAUUUUCCGUCAAUACCCAUUUCUUCUAUCGCUCUCGUUUCCAAGAAAAGAGGGCUUUUUUUUUUUUGGUUUAGAGAAAAGCAAAACUCAAAUGGCGACGAACAUCGGAAUGAUGGAUAGUGCUUACUUCGUUGGAAGAAACGAGAUUCUGACUUGGAUUAAUGAUCGUCUUCAGCUCAAUCUCUCUCGCGUCGAAGAGGUAUUCCUUCUUCUUGUAUAUCUCUGCAUGCGAGCUUUCUCUAAUUCUUCUUUGGUAAUGUUGAUUUGGGAAUUAGGGUUUUGAACUUUGAAGGAAUUGUAGAUUUGGGUUUGAUUUGUUUCAACUGGUUAGUGAGAAUUCAGUGUUUGGAUUAUUGGAGGAUGGUAGUGAUAUUUGGGGCUAAGUUCAUAUGUUGAGGCAUUUUAUGAUUGCUUAGUUGUUUUGGUUGUUAAAAUGUUGCAAUGUCAUAGAUUUACUGUUGUUGUGAGGGAUCUAAAGAGUCUCAGUAGUUUUGUGUCAGUCAUGAGACUCUGUUGUCUUUGUUCUAAGUAUAAAUUUAUGGGUUUUGCUAGGCUGCAUCUGGUGCUGUGCAAUGUCAAAUGCUUGAUAUGACCUUUCCAGGAGUUGUGCAAAUGCACAAGGUGAUUUUUAACUUUUAUAGUUAUCUAUCUUACGAUUACUUUUGCUUCUUGGCGGCUGAAUAACUCAAAUUUUCCUCUGCAAGGUUAACUUUGAUGCGAAGAACGAGUACGACAUGAUACAGAACUACAAGGUCCUGCAAGAUGUGUUCAACAAGCUGAAAAUUACAAAGGUAAAUCAAUCAUCUUUUGAUAUGUUGCGUUCCUGUGUAUAUAUCAUGUAUAUGUAUUACUCAGCUUGUUUGUCUUACUGAGAAAACACCUCAGCCAUUGGAAAUUAACAGGCUUGUCAAAGGCCGACCACUGGACAACUUGGAGUUUUUACAAUGGCUGAAGCGUUUCUGUGAUUCCAUUAAUGGUGGCAUUAUGAAUGAGUAUGGGGUUUCAUCUGUCAGAUUUUUGGAUUUGUUAACCCUCCGUUGUUUUCCAAACAAUCAAGCUUGUAAAAUCUGUGGUUUCUUGUAGGAACUAUAAUCCAGUGGAGCGAAGAUCAAGAAAUGGUAAAGAGAGGAGUGUGAAGGGAUCUAACAAGAUUCCAAAGUCACUGCAAACUAACAAUAAUCAUCCUCCACCCAAUUCCGGUUCAGUUGGACUUAGCAAAGCAUCAGGUCUGCCCUUAAAUAAACAGAUUUUCUAUGCAAACAAUAAGAAUUCUUUUAUGCAUCUUUCUAAACAUGUUGGUAUCAUAAUUCUCAGGGCCCAAGCCAGCAAAAGCAGCUGAAGUGCAGGCUAUGUCGAAGGAGGUAUAUUGACAUAGAUCCUAUCGCUCUUAGUAUAAGCUUUCUUCUUAGUUUUCACCUAUACUCUAAUGGACGAAACAUCCACCAUAUGUAAUAUAUAACCCUUUCUUCAUCUUCUGCGAUACAGCUUGCAGAUCUCAAGAUCUCUACUGAUCUCUUGGAAAAAGAAAGAGACUUUUACUUCUCCAAGCUUCGGGAUGUUGAGAUACUCUGCCAAACUCCUGAACUAGAUGAUCUUCCGGUAAGCGCUUCCGUAGAGCCUGUUUUUUCCAAACCUUGUCUCACUCUAUCUUGCAUGGUAUAUCAUAUCGUUCUUAGAAUCAAGGACAAAAAACAGCUCUUACUAAUGAGCUCCUGCACAACCAGAUUUCAUCAGCGAGCACAUUUAAUGUUUCUCAUCAUUUUGUGAUACAUAUGCUUCCCUGGAAUGCAGAUAGUGGUAGCAGUGAAGAAGAUACUGUAUGCAACCGAUGCAAAUGAAUCUGCACUAGAAGACGCUCAAGAGUACUUAAACCAGUCCCUAGGAGUUGAAGAUGAAGCUGAAGCAAACGGAGAACAACAGGAAGAAGAAAAGACUCAAGCCUAAGCUCUGACUAUUAACAAUCCUAAGUAGAAGAACUUUCCGAAUCAAAAUUUUCAGGGUGACAGACAAUGGCUAGUCAUGGCCUUUCUUGCAAGUUUCUUUUGUUAAAGGAAACUUACUGAAACUUGAAGAUGAAUGAGCUUAUUAGAAACCUUUAGUUUGAAAACAGUGAGACUUAUUUUUGUUACUAUUCAAGAGGCUUUUUUUUUGUUUUAAAACAAUUACUUUGACCCAAAAGUGAGAAUCUUAAAAGUGUCAGAGCUUCCUCUUUUUAGCUUCUCUAUUAAAUCAUGAAUCAUUAAGAUAAUGAAGUUUCACACCGAGACGAAACAAAACCAGGGCUGGUUAGUACAAUUUCAAUUAAAAAUCCAAACUUGAGUGUUAUAUUUUAAUCCUCAAAUAAAUGAAAUGAUCCCAACUAUCCGUAUUUGUGCGAGUCUAUGAAUGUACCUUCCUAGUCGACUCUCCGAUGACAUCAGUGAGAUAUUGAUUUGCUGAAAGCGAUCUAACUAAGAGAAGACUCUACUCUUAGCUACCUUCUUGGCUUCGGCUUCACUCAAAUAUCGAACGCUGUUCUCACGUAACCACUUAUCGCCUCUACUCAGACCGUCCUUCACUUUCUUCUCUUCCAUCUUCAGAAGCGUAAGCCCCUCACUUAGUUUAGGAAAGAAACCUUCGGGUCUAACGCACCACGUCCUGAAAACCCCAUAUAGAACCUCCAUGUCUUCUUUUAACCUUUCGACUCCAUCAUUGGAAAACUUCACGUUCGCCAUCAAGAUGCUGUUGAAGAACAACUUGUCUAUCUCAGAGGCUAGAGUCCUCCACAUAGCUGUAAAGUCUGCUUUGUUUAGAUUUUCUUCUAUUAUAGACGUUUUUCCUUGCAAAUAGUCUAGAGCCCCAACUAGUGCCCUUGACACUGUCCAUUCUUUGUCUCUCUUCUCCUGCCAUUGCUUUCUGUUUUUUAUGUAUUCUCGAGUUCGAGCAUCAAAGCCUCUCAAGACCACCACAGACAACUUGUUUAUCCACUCUAGCCGGAACUUCUCCAACUUCUCAAAUUCUUCUCCGAAAAUACCUUCAGAAGGUUCUGUAAAAUUCUCCAGUCCUGGAACUUCCUGUGGAUCGUGCUGUCCAGUUCCCAUUUCGAGGAAAUAUACAUCUUCAGACCAUUCUUCUAAUACAGAUUCAAUGUAGUGACCAGCAUUGAUAGAGUUUGAGACCUUGAUUAGAUCGUUAUUUUCGGUUAAUGCAGUUAGUCCUUCGGCGUCUUGGCACCUGAGAAGGAGGCAAUCCAAGAACUUAUGGAUUGUUGGUGAGGCUGCCAAUUUCAGGAACCUUGCCCUCAAAUAUAUGGCCGGUACUGAUUUGGAUCGUUCGAUUAUUGAUGACAAAUGCUGCAGAAAGAUGCUGGAAAUGAUUGGUGGUCUGUAAACGUUGGAAGUGGAGAUGAGUUCGUCUUGGACCUUUGCUGUCCAAUUUCUGUCGUUAUCAAUAUCUGCCUUGAAUUUGACUAGCCUCUCAUCUAGCUCUAUCUCUGCCCAUAAAUCGAGCCAAUCAGGUCUGUCACAGAAAACUGAGAGAGAGGAAAUUCUCAGAAGAUUCCCAUCUUCUUGAAGCGAAAGUAUUCCUGAUUGUGAUACCAGAGACUGUACUCGCUUAUCAAAAGAGAUCAUCAGGUCAAUGAGAUGGAGCCACGAAACCUUGGCCUCAGAACGAAGAUCAGUUUCAUUUGCUUCGUUUAGCUGUCCAACAUAUAUAGGGAAUAUCUCUUUCACCAAGUACAAAGACAAUGAGCUUACCAUAGCCGAAACCCACUCUUAUCGGCAACUGUACCCAGCUAGUUUUGCUUCAUCAACGAGCGGUUGUAACAACUCAUCCAUAGAAUCGACAUAGUCCCUUGUGAUUUUAUACACAAGGGCAAAAAUGAAUUCAGGCUUUUCGCUCCACUUUGUAAAAUGUCGCUGAGAUGCAACUGUCAGAGGGUUGACCAGCUCUUCAAUAGCCCAGAGUGGCUGGUGGAAAAGAACAUUUUCUCCCAUAUGGCUCCCAAGCUGCCGCGACUUUCUUUGCAACUGCAACCCCUGCAGGCUGCACAAGGCCUGAAAAUUUCCACAGUAUUGACUUUUGAGGCUCCCUUCCAUGUUGAAAAGCGGAUUUUGGACAUUUUCUGACUUUGAAUCAAGACUAGCUGAAGUUAGUGUAGAAAGCUGAGGUGGCCAUCCAAGAGAAGAAAGCAACGCUCUGUAAUCCGCAAUUGCUUGAGGUCUCAUCAUGGCUAAGGCUCUAUCUACUCUGUGAUCAACUGCAGAAACAAUACGUGCCCACCGAGGAUGUCUCCUAGCUACUGAACUCAGUAUCUCUUCUGUCGUUUUAAGUGUUUUGAUAGCAUGUAGACGCACUUCCUGUAAUCAGUAAAAAUUCAGAACAUUGAUCCGUACAUACGUUCGAAACUUUUUAUACAGAACACUCAAACUGAAGAAAAUGUGCUUACUUCAAAACCGCUUGAUCGAGAUGUUCUCAAGUUUAUAUUCAAAGAAGACAUCACAGCAUCCUCGAUAUCACCCACUAAAGUAUCAAGUUUUAGUGCAGUCUCUGAAACAUAGAGAAACAUCUUUAAAGAUUGAACGCAACUAACAGUGACCAAACUAAGAAGGAAGGUUGGAAACUCCAAAUUUGGGACUAUCUAAUCUCAAUCAACAUCAAUAACACCGACUCUUUAUCAGAAACUAUCCAGCCAUCAAAUGCAAAACGCCUUAACACCAACUAAAGCAAACAUACCAGCAUAAGCCCGCACAGACUCAACUUGUGCGACUUCCUUUGCUAAUGACGGAAGCUCCUCCCCGGCUAAUUGCUCCGUCGCCUCCUCCUCCUUUCCGCCAUCUAAAUGAAUUAAACAUAUUAACAAUUCUCAAAUUAUAACGGAAAUGUAUUUAACAAACACCAGAGACUCAAUUUUUCAUCAUUGACUACAACAUUUCACGAUCAUAAUCAGCAUUUCUCUGUUUCUUUAGACGAAUCGUGAUGAAAUCAAUACGAACCUGACGCGGAGCGAGGAACGGAGGUAGAAGAAGAGAGAUUAGCCAAUUUGGCAUUAACCUCGACAAAUAAACCACCGACGCGAUCGGAAAACGAAGCGUAAGAAGCAAGACCGGACUCGAGCUGGCGAUUUAAUCCGGCUAAUCUCUGAUCCAAUUCGGAAAUCUCGGUCUGUAACUCAGAAACCAGACCUGGAGACUGGGAGAGAUCCGUGGAGUCUCUGAAUUUGUCAUCGAGGAAGCUAAAUACUGAAGCGGAGAAGCUCGAGACCUGUGGAAGUGGUUUGAUCGCCUCCAUUUGCGAUUCGUCGUCGUUGGCUCAAUUUCAUCGAGAACAAUGAUAAUUCGUUAGAAGAGGAUACUGAGUCAUUUGCAUUGCCUCGGAGUGUUGAUGAGUUGUCAGUUUUUUUGAUAACACGGAUAAUGGGCUUUAUUUAAGCCCAUUAAGUUCAGGACAGUGGCUUCAAAUAAAUUGAUUCAUUGUUUGGUUGAUACUUUUAAAUUGAGCAAUACUUCGGUUCUCCCUGGGGUGAAUUCUUCUAUUCACCCUCUUUUAUUUUAAUCGAUCAUAAUUCGUCACAUAAUAAAAAAAUUAUAUUUAUUUAAUUAUUAAAUCUAAUUUCUAACCACUCUUUUAUAAACUCAAACCGAUAUAUAAUCUCGUUUAAUUAUAAAAUCUAAACUCUAAUUCUCCUUUGUAAACCCAAACCGUCAUUUAAACUCGUUUAAUCGUAAAAAAUCUAAAUCCUAAUCGUAUUUUUUAAACCCAAACCGACAUUUAACCUCGUUUAAUUGUGAAAUCUAAAUCCGUUUAUAAACCCAAACCGAUAUUUAACCUUGUGUAAUCAUAAAAUCUAAACCGUAAUCGUACUUUCUAAACCUAAACCGACAUUUAACCUCGUUUAAUUGUAAAAUUCAAAUCCAUUUAUAAACUCAAAACCGAUAUUUAACUUCGUUUAAUUAUAAAAUCUAAACUCUAAUCGUACUUUCUAAACCCAAACCGACAUUUAACCUCGUUUAAUUGUAAAACCUAAAUCCGUUUAUAAACCCAAACCGAUAUUUAACCCCGUUUAAUCAUAAAAUCUAAACCCUAACCCUUUCUAAUAAACCCAAACCGAUAAAUAAUUUUGUUUUAGUGGCAAAUUAGAUUUUAUAAUUAAAUGAAAUUUUUUUAUUAUUAUUAGAUGACAGAUUAUUCACCCUAGUUUCUAACUUCUACCUAAUGAGCUAAAAAGUUUUUUUUUGGUUUAAUGUGAAUGACUGAAAAGUUAGAAGAAACCUUCAUGACGGUUUCAAGAUAAAAUGAAAAAGCCCAUCCAUUAUAAUUGGGCUAUUACUCUAUUAGCCAAUGAAAUACAUUUCAUCUGUAAAAACACUUGGUAUAUAUCUGGGCUGUAAGUAUUUGUUAGAUUCUUUGCAUUCCAAGAGUUGCACCAAAUCCAGCACAUUUUACUUGGAAAUCUUUUUAAUUUUGAAUGUCUGAGAAGCGCAAUGUAUUAAUUCGGGUGUGAUAUACUAUUCUAACAGUAUUGUUUUAGUAGUUAAAAUAUACUCUCUCCGUUUUUUUAUAAGUGAUAUUUUAAGCUUCUAAUUUUGUUUUUAAAUAGAUGAUGUUUUCAUUUUUCAAUGCAAAAUUAAUUAUUUUUUAUUGAUUUUGACGAUUUAUAUUUUGUAGAUUAUUUUUUUAUUGGUUGAUAAGAUAAUAAAUGAUGUUUUAGUUUAAAAAUAAACAAAAUUAAAUGAUUUCUUAAUCUAUUUGCAUUCUUCUAAAACAUCACUUAUAAAAUAACGGAAUGAAUAUUAACUAUGAUAAAUAAUUGUUUUUUUUUAUAAACAGAUGUGAAAGACAGCGGAUAAAAAGUGUGUUCAUCUUGAUUGAUGAUAACUUGGAAGACGACAUUUUUUUACCACUGCAAUCAAACCACUAGUUAAUUCGUUAAUUGUCGAUUAAAGUUUUAUUUUAUUUUUUAAUUUAUAAAGGGAUAUAGUUUGAUGAGGCUAAAAAAAAAAAAAAAAACUUUGCUGACUUAGCAACGUUUAUCUAUGUAACCAAGGGGCAAUUUGGUCAUUUCAAGUUCCAUUCCACCUAUACGUAAAACUACCGGCCUUGCACUUUCCCACAAAAAAACAGGUAGCCCCGCACACAGAGAUAAAAGCAUUUUCAGGCUUCUCUCAUGCACAAACAAUUAUGCUGUAGUAAUGUUUUGAUUUUUUUAGCUUAGUUGAUAGAUCUUUACAGCUUUAUUUACUGAUUAAUAUAUUCUAUCUUUACAGUUUUAUUUCCUGAUUAACAUACUCCUCUUUGAAAUACUUGUCGUCCUAGAUUGUUUUACGUAGAUUAAGGAAUUUUAUAAAUUGGCUACUUUAACCUCACAACAACAUCAAUUUACAAUCUUAAUUGUAGUGCAUUUGUUUUUAAGCAUUUCAAUCGUAAUUUUUUUAGUAUUUUUACUCAUUCAAUACAUAAUUAACAGCUUUUACUAAAUUAAAUAUACAUAAUUUUGACUUGUUGAGUACAAAAAUAAGUCGCUUUGGUCUAGUUGUAAAUGAGAGAAAAGUCUCCGCCACUUGGGCUCAAAUAACAUUGGCCACCGGAAUUCGAAUUCUAACAUGGUUUCCGCGGAUCCCAAGAUUAGUCUUUGGGCAUAAAAAGCUUUUAAAAUCACCUGAGUUAUAAAAAAAAAAUGUAAGUGAAGGGAAUCCAAAAUUUUCACUUCAAUGUCACAAUUGAAGAAAAUGUCACAAUUGAAAAAAAAAGUAAUGGAGACAAAUAUUAAAUUUCAAAACUUUUCACGUAUAUAUAUAUUUGAGCAAAUCACGUUUUUAUAUAUUAACAUGUACUUUUACCAUUAGAUCAUCUUCCAUAACAAGUUUUGAUCUAAACUUUUCACCAACAAACAAUAAAAACCAUUCGUUUGAAUUGAAUACCACUCCAGCAAAGAGUGAUGAUUAUUCUGGAUAUGGAAAUUUUAGAGAUGAAGGUGACUCUGUUCAUGCGACAAAGGAAACAUAUAUCGAAAAUGGUGAACCAGUUAUAAGGAUUAUAUCAUCUUCUGAAAUAAUCAAAGUAAUCAUUUUUCAGAAGAUGAUAUAAUCGAUGUCAACGUAAAUCUGUCGGAAAAAUAUAAUUCUCAAAUACUAGAAUUAGAUGUCGAUCAAUUGUAUGAAGAAAGUCAAGAUCUAAUUUUACAAAAUGAAUUUCUAAAUCUAACAAUUUAUAGCCUUUAAAACCUGCAGGGUACCCUAGAAAAACACAUGAUCUUGCUCUAGGAGAAAAUUUGGUUCUUUCAUUUUGAGUAGUUGAAACUUGUAACAUAACACAAAAAAACAAAAUUCUUUAAAAGCAAGUAAUCAGGUAAUUUGUCAAGUAAAAGCUCAUAAGACGACUUAUUGUUAAGCAAUGGUGAUGGUAAACGAUUGAUUAAGAAAACGGUUGUAAACACACAAUCACUCCAAUACUGAAGAAGCACAUUAGACUGAAAAAGCUAGCAACAUUUAAAAGAUGAUGAUGCUUCCUCUCAACAACUGAGUUUUGUUGAAGAGUAUAAGCACAAGAAAAAUAAUGCAUCUUGCCUUGUUCUUUAACUAAUUCAUUGAAAGCAAGCUCAGGUGCAUUAUCAGAUCUAAUAACUUUUAUUUUUGCAUUUAACUGAGUUGAAACAAGUUUAACAAAAACAGGAAAGACAGUUGAAACAUCCUUUUUAUUUCUUAACAUAUAAAUCCAGGUGGUUCUUGUACAAUCAUCUACCAAAGUAAGAAAGUAUCUAAAACCUUCAACAGAUUCAGCACUAAAAGGAUCCCAUAUAUCCAAAUGAACAAGAUCAAAUAGUUUUGGAGCUAAAUUGUUAUGAGAAAUAUAUGCUAAUCUCUUCUGUUUUGCUAAAGGACAUAUAGAACAUGUAGAAUUUUCUGAACUAAAAGACUUAAGAAAAGGAAUGACACUAACAAGUUUAUGUAAAAAAAUAGACGAUGGAUGCCCUAAUAUUUGAUGCCAAAGCUUUCCAUCUAUAACAGAUCCAGAGAAAGAACAAGCAGCAAGUGUUGAUGGAGAGAGGGAAGUAUUCUCUGUCUCAAGAAUGUAUAAGUUGUGAUAUAUUCUACCCCUCCCAAUCAUCAAGCCCUGAGAAUGUUCAUGAAUCAAAUAACAAUCAACAUAAAAAUGAGCAGAACAAGAUAAUGUUUUGACCAAAGAACUCACACUAAUCAGAUUGAAUUUGAAAGCCGGUACAUGAAAAACAUUAUGUAAAAUGAGUGUCUUGGUAAUGCAAACAGUGCUUGUAUGUGUAAUGGAUACGCUAGUACCAUUUGGAAGAGUGACAGUAACACCAAAACUGGUUUUAAUUCUCUAAACAUGGCUAGAUUUGAACAUACAUGACUAGAAGCUCUACUAUCUAUAAUCCAAGCAUCACGUGGCAAAAUUUUUUGAAAAGAAGAAAGAAUGUGAUUUUGAAAAGUGAGAUUAUUGUUUUCAAACUUAAGACUAGUAGAAGAAAAUAGAAAUUCAAUACCAUAAGUUGAUGUAUGAGCCAUUAAACCAUGUUCUGAGAUAGUAGCCGUAGGACUAGGUGUGCUCGUAGAAGUUACAGGCUCUGAAACUUGAACUUGAGCUUGAAAUUGUGAAACCAUUUGUUCAAUUUAUUGCGGACUAAACUCUUGGAGAUUUUGUCUAUUACCACAAGUACUUUGGUUCCUUAGUCCAUCAGAAGUUACAGGCUCCAAGAGUUUAGUCCGCAGCAAAUUGUGAACCAUUUGUUCAAUUUGUUGCGGACUAAACUCUUGGAGAUUUUGUCUAUUACCACAAGUACUUUGGUUCCUUAGUCCAAAGUACCAUAAGAACCAUUCAUCAGUACAAGAACUUUCAUAUAUCCUUCUGAUGGAUAAGUACCAUUCUCAGUAUGCACAUGAGCCACUGCCUUAGCUUUUUUGCAUAGAAUUAGCAUAAGGCAUCAUUUGCAUAUGAGACUGCAGUUGCAUUUUAGGCUGAAUUUGCAUCAUCUGCAUCCGAGGCUGUAAAGGAGUAUUACAUUUGUAAGUAUAUCCUAUAGUCCCUGCUUUAUAACCUGGUGGAUAUCCAAGAAUCUUGAAACACUUUUGAACUGUAUGUCCUACUUUCCCACAGUGAGAACAUACCGGCUUUUGUGAUGGUCUUACAGUGUUAUAAGCAACAAUAUAUGCACUCUCUUCAUCAUUCAUCAUAGAAGUAGUGCUUUGGAAAGCAACAUUAUCAACUCUAGUAGGUGGCUUAACACUCUUGUGUCUCUCUCCUGAGUCACAACGUUGAAUGCUUCCUCUAUAGUAGGUAUGGGUUUUAACAUCAGGAUAUGACACCUAGUUUAAUCAUAACUUUCAUUCAACCCCAUAAGAAACUUAGUCACCCUACCUCUCUGUUGUAUUUUCUCCCAUUUAACAGCUGCAUCACAUUCACAACGACCACAUGUACACACAUGAAGCUCUACAUAGUUAUUGUGCUCUUCCCACAAAUUAAGUAAAGUUGUAUAGGAAGUAAAUACAUCCAUAGCUCCUUGUUCAAUCUUAUAUAAUUUAUGUUCAAUAUCAAAUAUCCUUGGAGCAUCAUCUUGUUUAAAACGAGUUAACAAAUUGUUCCAAAUUCUUUCUGCAGUUGUUAUAAAGAGUAAACUCUGACCAAUCUUUUUAUCAACAACCAUGUUGAAACAAUGUCAUUGCAACGUGACCAAGCACCAUAAUCUCGAUGAUCAAUCAGAACAAUCAUACCAUUGAUGAAUCCUAAUUUAUUACGAACAUUCAAUACCAUCAAAACAGAAAAACGCCAAGACGGAAAAUCAGAAGAAUUCAAGAAAUGAUCAGAAACAUGAACAAGACCUGUGUGAUCUGCACUGUGUAGAUAAUAGGGAUUAUCAUAUUGAUCCGCUGGGUAACGUGGUUGAUCGGCACCAUUUAACAUAAGAUCCCAUUCUCAGUUUAAAAACAAUAAAUUACAAAGAAAAGUGUGACGAUUGAGUAAAGAAAACAAGAAUCGUCAGCACUAGAGGUCAUCAAAAGAGAGAUUAAAAGAAACAGAAUGGAAAAUUAAAAUUCCGGUGAACAAAAUGAAGAAAUCGCAAAUCUCGAACAAAGAAGAAAUCAAAGAACAAAUGAAGCCAAGAACAAACUGGAAAGCUCAUCUCCCGCGAACAUAUGAUUGCGGAAGAAGACGAUUAGGCUCUGAUACCAUAUUGGAUUCCGAUCAUCGAAAUCUCAGGAUCGAAGAAGAGCUUAACAGAAACUUAACAAACUUUAUUAUGAUAAAAUGUUGUUACAAAGCUUAAGUGUAAACUAAUGAUGAAAUAAACUUAUAUAGUAUUUACAUUAAACCAAGAUGUAGUUAACCAGAGUUAAUCAGUAAUAACCGGCCCAUAUAUCACUCUAGUAGAGAUCAUGGUAAAUUGAAUCGUCACCUUCUUCUUUUCUUUGGUGACCCUUAAGUUAUUUCAAAACGUAAGAUUAAUAUUAAAAUUUAAAUAUUCAGUUUUUAAAUUUUUAUACUCCUUCCGUUUCAUAAUAUAAGGCGUUUUGAAAAAAAAAUUUGUUUCACAAUAUAAGUCGUUUUCGAGUUUCGAUGCAAAUUAUAUAUUACUUUAAUAUUUUAUGAUUAUUUAUAUUAUGCAGUGUAUUUUAUGAUUGGUUGAACUUUUUAAAAGUAGAUCUUCUUAAUCGGCGUGUUUUUACCUAAAACGAUUUAUAUUAUGAAACGAAGAGAGUAUAUUGUAUUAGUUUAAUUGAGAUUAUAUUUGGAAUUCUUUUACAAAAAUACACUAAAAAGCUAAAACGACAAGUAUUUUAAACGAAGAGAGUAAUAACUAAAUACAUUGAUGGGUUGAAUGAAAAUUAACUGGUAGACUACAUACCUAAAAUAAUUAAUCAUCUUAUUCAAGAAUUAAUUAGAGGUUUUUAUCUUCCUCUUUUUGUCAACUUAAAAUAUUUUAUCAAGAUACGUGUCCAAAGCACGAGAACUUACUUAUUAAAGAAAGUGUACAUCUCGAAUCCUAACUAUAAAUAAUAUUUAAAGAACGUGAGAUAAAAGGGGUGAUUGGAUGAUACUUUUAAGACUUUAAAAAGUUUUUAAAAUUUUUAAAAGUUUAUUUUUACCAAUCAAGCUUUUUUGGUUUCAAUAAAUUUUAAAGCCUUCAAAGUCUCUUUUUUAUUUUUACUCUUUGCUUUCAGUUUCUUUUUAAGUCACGUAAAUAAGGCUUUAGAAAUAAAUAACCUAAAAGCUUAUAGUUUUUUUUUUUUUUUUCUCAUAUAUAUGUAAAUCCUUAUAACUUUCACAAAUAAAUUAAUUUUUGAAAAAUUCAGUAGAUUUACAUUUAAAUCUUUUCUCUUGUUCUUUUAAGAUCCAUUUUCCCAUAUAUUUGGUGGUUAUUUAAAAUCGUAAUUUCUAAAGUCAUAGGUUUUACCAAUCGGUUAUUAAAUUUAUACAGUCAAAGUCUUUACAGCCAAAGUUUCUACAGCAAAAGUUUUUACAGUCAAAGUCUUUACAGCGAGAAUUAACAGUCGUUACCAAUCGGUCCCAAAAUGUACUGGUGGUACAAAGGAGUAGAUAUUUUUUGUGUUCUGAAUUCAAAUUUUUUUUUUGAGAUAGAGUGACAUUCUUUAAACUGACAUUUUUUUUUUGAAUAUUAUCGAAACAGAUUAUGGUUUAAAAGCCUGAAAUUCUCAGCGGUUUGAAAAAAAAAAUGUGAGAUAAAAUGUAACUAAAAAUAAUAAAUUGUAUGUUAAUGACAAGAAACUCCACAAGCUGAUGUGGGAAAGCAUGUCAAUCCUCGGAAUUUUCUAACAUCUUGAUUACAUCGGAGUAAGCGGUUUCAAAAGUCAUACCUACCAUACAAUGGGUUAAUAAUAAUAAUACUUUUGUCCACAAGAUUAGAAGUUUUGCUUGAAUAAAAAGGCUAAAAUUUUCAAGAUACUGUUCAUUAAUGUAUUUAUUGCAAAUUCGAUUAUGUAUGAUAUUUACAAGUUCAUAGUUUUGUUAAUUAAGUGGGGAUUAAGGUAAUCGUGACAAUAAAAAAAAAGGGUGGGAUUAAUGUAUUCGUGUGAAUGUGGAUACUUCUCCUUCACGGCAAAAGGAAAAGACAAGACACUAAAAAUAAUUAAAUAGAAAGAAUAAAAAAAGCGAAAACAGACAACAAAACCCAAAACAGGAAGACUUAAACAAAUAAGAACACAGUAAGAAAAAACUUUUCCUUAACUGUAUUUUUGAACUAUUCAUAUAUAUAUGAUUAGUCUCUCUGCAAUUUAAAUUCAAACAUUUGUGCUCUCUCAUCUCAAAAACUACACUAAAGCUAUAAAUCAUCAUUCAUCUAAAGUCUUCAAAAAGGUUUUGAUUCUGAAUUCUUGGUUUCUUUUUAACGAGUUCUUGAUUUUGAGUCUGAUUCUGUGUUUCCUUUUGUUUCUCAGCAAUGGAUUACACAAAAAGCGAAGAAACACCGAUAAACCGUCUUCAUUUCCCGGCGACAGAGCUAAACCACUACGAAGAACAACAAGGAUCAACAAAUUCAUCUGAAAGCAGAAGCAAUGAAGAGGUCUCUGACUGUGAUCAGCAACAUUCUUCAAUAGCUAACGAGCUCGGGCUAAUGGAGUUGCCUAAAGACGAUAAAGCUUACAAGCUAAUCUAUGGUCAUUGCCAAUCUAAGCUAACUUCUCACUUAGGCAAUCAAUUUCAGAUUGUAUCAAUUCUCAAGAACGGAUUUAAAACACCAUUAGGACAAGCUAAGCUCAAAGCCUUUCAGAUAUACACUGAGUCUGUGGCAAAGAAAAGCGGAAGUUACUGCGAAUGCGGUGGAAACAAAGCUGCUGCUGGUGAAGCAGCGAGAGUGAAAUACGGUUGUUGCGGUGUGGAGAAGGAAGAGUUAAAAGCGAUUCUAAUGUAUGGAUUUAGCCAGUUUAGGAACAACAAUGGCUUAUGUCUCUCACCAGACAAUGCUUCUCUUCAAUGGUAAACAACAACAAAACACUUAUUACAUUUUUUUUUUCAUUUUGCGUUUCAUAAUCUUCAAUGAGUCUCAUCAUUAAUCAUUUUUUUUUUUUUGUAUAGUAUGAUAGAUCCUUCAUCAUCUUGUAACGAAGACGGGACUAGAUUCUUGUUGUUUUCAAGAAUUAUUAUGGGAAAAUCAGAGGUUAUGGGCUCGACCGCACAAUCGUAUCCGAGUUCUCCAGAGUUUGAUUCAGGUGUAGACAGUUUAAUAUCUCCGAAGAAGUAUAUGAUUUGGAGCACACACAUGAACACUCAUGUUUUGCCUGAGUUUGUUGUUUGCAUCAAAACUCCAUCCAUCUUGAGAAGUAGUAAGCACACAAAAAUGUUAGUUCCUCUCUUCUUUAAUUCACAAGUUGUUCACUUGCUGAUUUGGUAUGUUUUUUUUUUCUAUGCAGAGAACCCGAAAUCGCCUUGGAUUUUGUUUCCAAUACUGAUCAAAUCGAUAUCGAAGUUUCUAAACCCGUCGCAAAUCCGUCUCAUUCAGAAACACUAUAAAGAAUAUCAAGUAAGUCCACUUUCUUGGCUCUCUGUUUUUCAUCCUCAUCACAACAUUAUAUUCUCAUUGUUGGUUCCUUUGCCACUCACAGGAAAGUAGAAUCUUACGGUUUGAGUUGAUUCAACGACUGAGGACUAUAGCCGGAGAUAGGUUAUUGGUUCAAAUCAUCAAAUCUUUCGGACAAAAGGUACAUUGUAUCGUAGACACAUUUUCAAAACGUUAAUUCUUUUUUUUAUCAUACACAACUUCCACAAUGUUGGUUCUUUAAAAAUGUUUCAGGGACCGGAAGAAUCAAGACCAAUAAAUUUACAGUCGCAGCGUGGCUGUAUGCAUAUAUAGAGAAGUCGUUUGUUAGCUCUAUGUUGAUUAACAGAAUUUUGCUUUCUUAGUGUUGUAUGUAAAUAUGUUUCUGUAAAUCAAAAGACAAUAAUUCACAAUCUUGCUGACAAGUCAAUGCUGCUGAAACAUAUAACCUUAAGUGGAUAGAGUUACUUCCCAGCCUUGUGGAACUGGACCUUACUCAUUUAUGAUCUUUAAUCAUACUGUGAAAUGAACAUAGCAGUGUUAAAUAUUUGUUUUUAAUCACAAACUUCCUUCUAAUUUACAUCAUAAUUACGUAAAACACAAAUUUAAAUAAACACGCCUGUGAUUUUUUCGUAUAAAACUACAACAACGAAUCAGAAAAACCUGUAGAGCUUAGUCCAGUAAGUUAAGAACAGUGUGUUUGUGUCUGCGCGGGCGCAUUAUAUUUCAUUUCACAACGAAAAGCGUCUGGAAGAUGUGGAACCGCUUCUAACAAAGCUGGCAAACUCAGGAUCAAUCACAAUUCCCUGAACUUGUCUUCGGCCUCUCCUUCCCAACAAGUUUACUCCGCCAUGUCCUGGUGCCACCGGAUCUGUCACGGGAAUAUUUUCAGGAACUGGCAUCUCCGUGGAGUGUCCUGAGAUGCACAAUGAACCUGACUCGUCUUGUUGCCAAUACACUUCCACCAUGAUUCCUCGUGGAUUCUCUGCAGAUUCUGUUCCCGGUAUCCCAAUAAAUCUUGCCCCCACCGGUAUCUGUAGAUUGGAUUGGAUCGGAUCAGCUCGGGAGUUAUAUAAGUCUCUAUCUAUAGAUAUGAAUGCAUGAGAUGUAAGUUAUUUACCUCGACUGAUGAACCAGAUGUUAGAUCGAGAGUGACCAUUGUUCCAUCAACUGCAGCGCUUUCGAGUUCAGCUUUUCUUGCUAUGUUCAAAAAGACUUCUUCAAGAGUUGCGAGACCAAGCUGGAUAUCUGAAAUUCCAAAUUCUUCUUCUCUGUCUUGCAGCUCAGCGAAAAAGCCCUGUUUCGUUGUUACAAAAAAAAAAAAAAAAACAGAGAAGUUGUGAAAUCAGUUAAACUCUAUAUAUGAUAAGUUGUGUAAAUGCUUACUGUCAAAAGAUUCUCUUUGUCGUGUGGUAUAACAAAGGUCAUGAAGGCCUUGUUUUCUUCUAUUGGUUUGACUUUGAGAUGCUGCAAGAAAAAUAUCACAGUUCAGAGGGUGUUGGAUUAAUCUAACAGCAUUUGAAAAUGGAAACAGUAACCGGGUGCUAAAGCAGACUCACAUCUUUAAACAAUUUCUUCACUGGCUCGCGUGAAUCGACAGCACCAUUUUCCCCAUUGUGGUUAUUGCCAUUGUUUUCUUGGUUGUUGCUUUCGACGAAGCUAAUGUUAGCAAUGAAACCUGUGCCAAAGCGGGAUUUCAACCUGAUCGAUGUUCCAAUGCAGCGGAGCCUACCCUUAGCCACUAUCCCUAUUCGAUCACUUAAGAUAUCAGCUUCUUCCAUCGAAUGUGUCGUUAGUAUAAUGGCGCGGCCUUUCUUGGUUUCCUGUAUAAUAUCCCACACAUGUCUCCUCGUGAUCGGGUCCAUGCCAGUAGUCUGCAACCCAUGUAAGACAAGCACGCAUGUGUAAAGGAAGCGGAACUGAGAUAAAUAAACAUCAAUAGAAUAUAGAAAGUAACAAACCGGUUCGUCCAGGAAGACCAGCUUUGGAUCACCAAUGAGUGAAACUGCAACACUGAGUCGGCGUUUCAUUCCUCCACUGUAACUUCCUGCCCUGAUUUUCCCUGCUUCUGUCAGUUUUACCUCCGCAAGUGACUUCUCCACCAUCUGUAUGACGGCAAAAACACAUUUUAAAAACAAAAGAGGAAAAGUAAUCUUGAUUUGAAUUUGAAAAUACAUUUUAAGCAUCUAUUAUUAGCGGAAACUGUUAAAGAAACCAACCGACUCAUUUCUACCAUUUGGUGACAUACCGAGUUGAUCGAUGAAGGUGGCAGCCCUUUGAUGCUAGCAAAGAGUUUGAGGUGUUCUUCACCAGACAAAGAAUCCCAAAGAAUAUCAAACUGUGGAAUGGGAAUGUCAUAAAUCAUUUAAAGCAUAACAAAUGUCUGUAACUAAGGCAAAUGUCAGAAGAAGAUAGCAACAAAAAAAUGGCCCACCUGAGGACAAACUCCAAUCAUUUUACGGAUGUUGGACAUACCAACAGAGCUUCUUAUAGAAUUUCCAUAUAUUAGUGCUAUUAAAGCCAAUCAGAGAGAUUUUAGUAUGGUGAAAAUGCUUAAGACACUAGCUUCUAUGAAACAGAAACAAGAAUAAGUGCAACCUUCGUCUUACCAUCACCACCAGUAACUGGAAAUAAGCCUGUCAAACAAUUGAUAGUAGUUGUUUUUCCUGCGCCAUUGGGUCCAAGAAGACAGAAUAACUGAUCUUUGGCAAUAUUCAUCCACAACCCCUGAAUAAAUGAAACACGUAUCGCAGACGAAACCACAUGGAGAAAUAAUCAGUAAACUUUCAUCCAAGUCCUAGCUAUAGAUAGAUCUAUGGUAAGAUUGUCAUUUCUUGAACAUCUUUGGUAAAAACAGACUCUUUCAUGUUAAAUUGCAAUCAACAAACGUAAAAGGGUCAGUUUUUCACUUAUGUUUUCUUCAAAGAAAUACCUUCAGAGCAUGAAAAGGGGGAGUUUUCUUGCAUUUGCAGCAUCCAAAAUUCGUCGUCCCAGGAUAAGUCUUUGCAAGACCACGUAUUUGAACUGCAAUGUUGGGAUCAACUAAACCAUCCACUGAAUGUUGUUUAACUAAAGUUUCCUCUUCAAGGACAUCUUCGUCAUCUGGGGUAAUGUGAUCCACAGGUGGGACUGAACCAGUACAACUACAAAUUCCACCUUCUGUUCAGAGUAGAAACGUUUAAUUAGGAUCACAUUUUUGACACAAAAAUUACUAAUGAAUACAGAAACAAGACUGAGGAGAAAGUACCUUCUACUCGGUUUCCACCUUUACCGGUCCAGUAACCAGGUUUUAGAAAGUAAAAGAUAGAUUUCCUUACACCAGACGCAUUUGGAGUAAUAUUGUCGAAGUAAAGAGCCAAAACAAACCACAAAAAGAAUGUCCCAAGAAGCCACAAGUAGAUAUCAUUCUGCCAAAACCAAGUAAUGAUCAGAGAAAGAUUCAACAAAGUUAUUAGAUGGAACUUGUUUAGAGUGUUACGUACAAUUGUAAUCACACAAUCAAUGUCAUCGUUGGGUCCGCAUUCUGCUCUCUUACUCCAACUAAUACCAGGAUCUUGAGGAGUUGAAGUUGCAUCAGCAAGCAACUUUAGACCCUGAGAAAAGGUAUUGGGUGGGAACAGUGACCAAAGCGACCUGAUCCUGCGAGAAUACUUCUUGGCAUAGGGAAACCCAGUUGAUGUUGCAAGCUGCAGUUAUAUUUAUGAUUAGUAACAGUUCAUAAUUCUAAGAAACAAAUACCAUCUAUUUUUUUGCAUGAGAGCGGCACCUGUGUUACAAACCCAACCAGAAACACAAAGAAGCCGACAGUUGUUGCUGACGAUGAUUUGCUGAUAAAAGCUGAUAGCAUGAAUGCUAGUCCAAUCUAGCAGCACAAACAAUGAAGAUAAUAAUUUGACUGAUGUGCCAAAAGAGGUAAAAAAAAAUAGUUUUAGAAAGAGAGUUUUACCAGAUUAAACUGGAAAAGCAUGAAAAGUAGGAAGACAACAGGGAAACUGUUCUUCAAGAAGAAGUCGAAUUGGAACAUCAUUCCAAAGAGAACUGUCAAAAGCGCUGAUAUGGCAGUAAGAAUUCCUUCCCAGGUAAGCCAUGACAACCAAUAAGCAGUGUCAAAAACACCCAUCAUCGUCAUUGCCUGUUGCAAAACAAAGGAUCAAUGUACUAUAUAUACAUUGGUAACAGCCUACAUAGAAACAACGUUAUACCUGGCGAAGUUUGAGCUCUUUCUCAGUGAUCAGAGAACUAAUCUGAAGAACAAAACCAAACAUCGCAACAGCAAGGAAAAAAGUCGGUCCUAUAGUGUCCAACGCAACAAUAGCUUCGAUAGUUGGGUGCGGAAACUCCUUAAACCCAACAACCCAGUUAAAGUUUGGAUCUGCAAAACAAAAUAACAACUUCCCAAUGUCAAAAAAUAAACACUUGAUAUCAUAAACACAAAGAUUCAUCAAGAUAUGCAUUACCUCCUAUUAAAGACCUCGCGAUUUCACGCUCAGCCGCAAUUUGAAGCGGUAUCUGAAACUUGAAAGUGGGAUCUUCAAAUCUUCCUCUAUUCAUCUCUGGUGUUGAAUUAGUUUGAAUACCAUAACUAAUUACUGUAGCAUUUCUUUCCACAAAGUGCAAAGCUCCUGGAACUAGCAACGGGUUCGCCAUAAGCCACGUAUCUACCGCUUCAGGAUCCACGAAUGAUCGUACCUUAACAGACAAACAAACAAACAAAAUUACAAUUUGCAUAUUUAACUUCCACUUUAAUUCUCAAAACUGUAACCUAACAAUUUGGUUCUCUAUAUCUAUGACAUCACUAAAAUUUCAUUAACAUAACAAUCAAAAACUACUCUAAUUUCUCCUGAAGAAUGCUUAAUUACACAAUUUCAAGAUUACAAUACCUUCUCGGUAGGAAUUGGUCUUCCAGGAUUAUUCUUCAUAAUCGCAUUAACAAUCUGAGUCACCUUGGGGCUACGAUUUCCGCUCCAAACAAAGUCAUAGCACGGAAGAUUCACGAAGAACUUAUCUUCGCAAGGCGGAAUCGGCGGCGAAAUCAACGCCGUCGGAUCCGUAACAGUUUUAAGAGCCGUGGAAGACGCAAAGCUCUUCUCCAUAGCUUCUUGGAUACAGAAGAUGAGGAGGAUGAAGAAGAAAGAAGCGAAGAGCUGAAGAAACGUGGCUCGUUUGCUUCGCCAUGAAAGAAGAAGGUUUUUCUUGAACAACGCCGUGUACUGUUGCAAGAGAAGAGGCAAACCUCUCUGCAAUGUCAUGGCCUGAGACGUUUUUUCGAAUUUUUGGGAAUCUUACUGUGAUCUGAAUUUUUGAUUGGAGGGGACGAUUUAAGGGAGUCGUAAGAUUUUGUUUAUAUUUAUGACCCUGGAGUUGUCAGGUAAUUACGAAUUUGCCACUCAUGUUUGCCUGCGAAUAAGCCGGGACAUAAUACCCGAACCCGACCCAAAAAAUCCGAUCCGAACCCGAAGUUUUAAAAUAUCCGAACGGAUUCUAAAAUUCACAACCCAAAAAUCCAAACCCAAACCCGACCCGAAUCUGAAGCCGAACAAGUACCCAAACAUACCUAAAAUAUAAGUACAUAGUUAUAAUAUAUUAGUAAUAUUUAUAUUUGUAAUAACUUAACUACCUAAAUUAUUCGGAUGUUAAGAUAUUUUCAGGUGUUUUAGGCUUUUAGCUACUUUGGGCUAGAUAGAUACUUGAGUUUUAUAGAUUUUUUUGAGUAUUUUUCAAUACUUUGCAUAGAAUCGGAUACAAAAUUUCUAAUAUUUGGAUACUACGGAUAAAUCCGAAUCCGAACCCGAAAUACCCGACCCGAACCCGAUCCGAAACCAAAGUUUUAAAAUAUCCGAACGGGUCUUAGUUUUCUAAACCUGGAAAACCCCAACCCAAAAAACCCGACCCCGAAAAACCCGAUCCAAAUAUCCGAACGCUCAGGCCUACCUGCGAAACUACUUUGAAAAAACGUAACUUCAGGACAAAACAGUGUAAUAAUAAAUUAAUAGUUGCAAAUUAUUUAUAAGUAAGAAAAAGAAUAAUGUAUUAUCAAAUUGGAAAAAAGAGAAGAAUUAUAUAUUUACUUUCUACCAGGAAAAGUAUGACUUUUAUGCUUUGACUGUUAGCAAUUAGAAAUUCUAUUAAACUAUCAGAUAUUUUAAAAAAUUAUUAUAUUUUAACAUAUCAAAAUUAAAAAUAUAUAUUGUAGAAAUAUCUUAGAUAGAUGCAGUAAUUGUUGAUAUUCAACACUAAUUUAAAAUUUGGCUUAGUAAAUUUCGCCGAGAAAAAUAAUGAAAGUGUGACAUUGAUUGAUAUAAUAAUGAAUAAUCCUUGGAACAGUCCAACAAGCUAGCCAUGUUCAAACUUCCGAAUCAUUUAAUUUGAAGGUCAAAGAAUGUGUUGAUAUAUUUUGUCAACAAGAGAUCUAUUUUUUAAUGUGUACUUUUCUGUGUACUAUUUAAAAUAUGUUAUAUAUAUAUAUAUAUAUCUUUAUUUAUUUAUGUUGUAGUUUCUUCUAUGUCAGUUUCGUAACAAAAAAAAAAAAUCAUUUAGCAGAAAAAAAAUCUUUAUCAAAAAAGAAAAAAUAUAAAAAUGAAGACAUUUUUUUUUUUGUGGACAAAAUAAAACUCGCUCAUUUAUAAAAUAUAGUUAUAAAUUUUCUUCUUUUGUUUGGGAAAAAUAGACAAUGUCAAUUUAUUCAAAGAACACUUUGAGUCUUCAACAAGUUGAUGGUAUUAAGCUAAAACUAUAUCAUAAAAAUUAGUAAACCCAAAACCCCGCGUUAGUCGUCUACUAAAAAGGGAAUUCCAACUAUAUCAUAUAUUUUUAUAUUAUUUUUGUCGGACCAUGCGUUACUUGUUGUUCAAGUUACCCUCACAUAGCCAUAGGAUCAGUGCCGGCCCGGAGGACAUGCCACCCAAGCCACCGCUUGGGGCACCACUUUUUUUUUUUUUUUUUUUAAGGUUUUUCUUUUUUUUUUGGAAAAAAGGCCCAAUUUUAGAAAAAAAAAAAAAAGAAUUAAGCCCAUAAAAUGAAAAUAUUUGGUAGAAACUAAAGCCUUUUCGAAAAAAAUAAAUAAAAUAGGGCCCAAACAAUUAAAUUUAAAUGUAAUAAUAUUCAAAAUAUCAUUAUUUUGUAUAAUUUACUAAAAAUAGAUCAAAAAAAAUUUUUAACCCUAAAACUUAUAAAUAUAUUGGGCCUCAUUUUAUUUUUCGUGUAGGGCCUCACAAAUGCUCGGACCGACACUGCAUAGGAUUAGCCGAUUAGGAACUUAGGACGGAUUUGGUAAAGUUUGUUUUUGUUAUGUUAACUAGGAUUUGGUAGAUUUUUUGAAUUAUACCAAUGGUACCCUCACGUAAUACCUAGCUAUAAUAUAUUAGUAAUGAUAUCUUUUAUUUGUAAAUAUCAAAAAGAUAAUUUAAACCCGCUUGUUGGCAAAUCGAAAGAUCGUGAGGAUCACUCAUUCGCAGUUCCUUUUGAAUUUAUAUUGAAGUCCAAUGUUUAUUUAUUUUCACAUAUAUAAUUUUAUAUUCUAUUUUACUAAAAAUGUUCAAAUUUAACAAACUAUUUGUAUACUAAAAAUUCUUAUUGUAAGAAAAAUGAAACAUUAUUAUAAUAAAUUUAUAUAAUCACUACAUUUUAAAAAUUUUCAUUAUUAUUUUCCUAAUUAAUCAUCGUAUUGUCUCUUAUAAUCUAGUGCAAUUUCGCAAUAAAAAUGCAGUCUUAGGUAGGAUAUAAUGCUAAAUGGCUUAUAAGUCCGAUGAAAGACCAAAACAAUAUAAUAACAUUCGCAAUGAAAGCUUUUGGUGCUGGUUAGAAUAGAAGACUGAAAUAAAAUUAAGAGAAGCUACCAAGCUUCAUCAAUGGCGGAUUCUGGUCCAGCCAGCUUCUUGACGCGUGCCAAUGCUAUACUUAGAAAAAAUUUAACUUAUCAGGUUUGGUGUUAAUUUUUCGUUUCCCAUAGUUAAUUCAUAAUUACAUAACCAUACUUUCAAAGUACAUAAUCUGUUUCAAAUGUCAACAUCUAUUGAUUUCCAUAUACAUGCGUCUACUAGUAGUAUAUCUGAUCAAUCUUGGUACUCUGUUUUCAAAAUUUCUACAUCAAACCGAUGUUUUCGCUUGUUCUUUGGUGGUUUUGUAGAAACGGAACAUAUGGAGCAAUGUUCGACUUAUUAUUAUCCCUUUCUACCUCUGCAUAGUUCUUGUUUUUGUUCAAGGUCUAUUCGAUUCACAAGUCAAUAACUCUGUAGAUAACCAAUGUGGUUGUCAAUGCAUUGACAAACUCGGAGACGGAAAAUGCGAAAUGAUUUGUGGUUUAGAAUACUCGACUCGGGAUCAAGGAGUCUUUUGUGCUAUCCCAAAACCACAACCAUGGCCUCCUUUGAUUCUAAUUCCGCGUUCUCACGCUCGUGCUGUUGAUUCCAGUUUCACUGACGAAUCGUGCAGACGAAAAAAUUCUUGUCCUGUAACUAUACUUUUCACUGGGAAUAAUCAAUCUCUUGGAGAAAGUAGGCUAGCUUGUGAAUGUGUCCUUCUUUUCUUCUUUAGGCUUAUUUUACAUUGUUUUCAUUGGCACUAAUGUACUUCAUGCUUUCUCCAGCUUUAUCUAGAAAUCUUCUAAGGAGAUCUUUUACAAUGACCUCCUCUGACCUCUUGUUUAGUUUAGCUAAUAAUGUCUUGGUAAGUUCUUUUCUGGUUUAUUUGUUGAAAAUUCUGUUUAUGAAUCUGAAUGUCUUUGCUUUUUUUUUUUACUUUGAGCUCAUGCAUGUUUCAGGCUACAACAUUAAAGGCAAGUGCAACCAAUUAUCUUGAUUCAGGGAUUGUUUCAAAUCUUAGCAUUUACACCAUCCAAUCUCGGUGCCCUCCAAACUCGAACUUUUCAUUCUCUCUCGGACAAUCACCUCUCAAUUUUACGAAAGGUAUAAAGUCUCUGAUCACAUUCUUUUCUAGGCUUAUCUCAAGUUUGUUAACCAACAUUUGGUUCAACUUAUAUAUUGUCUUUAGUAAUAAAAGUUAUCAUCUAGAGAAAUACUCUUGUAGUGGAUUUAUGUAAUCUUUUUGUUGAAACCAGAGAUGAGAUGUGUUCAAGGAUUGAAUCUUUGGAGAAACAGCUCCGUAGAGGUCAAUCAUGAGAUUUUCAAAGGUUAUAAGGAAGGGAAUUCUGAUGGGAAAAUAAGUGAGAUUGUUGCAGGUUGUAAUUUGAAUUCUCUGUCUUUUAUCUUUAGUAUUCACAUGAGACUUCUGAAUGUUUAUGCUCUGUUUUUCUUUUCUCUUUUGCCUUAGCAUACGAUCUCUUGGACACUGAUAGGACUAACUUCAAUGUGAAUAUAUGGUACAAUGCAACGUACAAAGGUGAAGAAGGAAAUCAGCGUUAUAAGUUGGUCCGAGUUCCCCGCUUAGUCAAUUUGGUAAGGAACUAAGUGUAGUACGAAAAUUCGAUAUAGGACUAGUUUCAAGAAUGUAGAAAUUCUCAAACUCUGCAUAACUGCAGGUGUCAAAUGCUUAUCUUCAGUAUUUGCAAGGCCCUGGGACAAAGAUGUUAUUUGAGUUUGUUAAAGAAAUGCCUAAGCAAGAAACUAAACUUCGUAUAGACAUUGCAUCUCUAAUUGGUCCAUUAUUCUUCACAUGGGUUAUUCUUCUUCUGCUACCUGUAAGUUUAUUUGACAUAUAGUUGGCAAAUUGCAUUCUCAAAAGCCUAUCAAGCAUUAGACGCAGGCCAUUCAUGAUUACAUGCAUUUAUAUGCAGGUGAUAUUAAACUCAUUGGUGUAUGAGAAGCAGCAACAUCUAAGAAUUAUAAUGAAAAUGCAUGGCCUAGGAGAUGGCCCUUAUUGGGUGAUUUCCUACGUCUAUUUUCUCGCCCUAUCCACGUUAUACAUUAUAUGCUUGAUGAUAUUUGGGUCAGCAAUAGGUACUGAAUCAUUGCUAUUACUUAUAGAACAAGUUACCUUCUCUGGGGUUAUUAUAGCAGCUAUAUUUCCUUGCAGGACUAAAGUUCUUCCUGUUUAAUGACUAUAGCUUCCAGUUCGGUUUCUAUUUUCUCUUCAUAAAUCUGCAAAUCUCCAUAGCCUUUCUAGUUUCCUCAGCAUUUUCAAAGGUCGAGACAGCAUCAGGUACUAACUUAAGUCACACGUUAACUAAAUGUACUCAAGGUUAACAUGAUGUUGUUAACUAAAAGAAACACUUUCUGUUUUAUGUCCCAAUUUUAGUUGUUGCUUACCUAUACGUGUUUGGAUCUGGGCUCUUGGGCGGGUUCCUCUUCCGGUUUAUGUUGGAAGGUUCAUCGUUUCCUAGUAAGUUAUCAAGAUGACCUUGAAGAAACAGUAUCCUCGUAAUUUAUUCUCGAAACUGGCUCCAAUGCUAAUAUAUAAUGUUUACUUUUCCCCAGGAAGCUGGAUUUUUGUCAUGGAGUUGUAUCCCGGCUUCUCCUUAUACCGCGGGUUGUAUGAGUUCGCCCAGAAUGCUUAUCAAGGAAGCUUGAAUGGGAAAGAUGAGAUGAAGUGGAAAUAUUUUAGUGAUAGUGAAAUGGAUGAAGUUUCCUACAUCAUUAUCGUUGAGUGGUUUGUUGCACUCAUUGCAGCAUACUAUAUCGAUAAGAUAUCUUCAUCGGGGAACAACCCUUUGUUUUUCUUGAAAAACAAUAACCCUUUCAAGAAAUAUCCUUCUCUACAAAAGCCUAGCUUGCAAAAACAGGUCUCAGCAGUUUCUGUAGAAAUGGAGAAACUAGAUGUCAUUCAGGAGGUAUUGCAAAAGUAUUUUUACAUGAUCUUAUUCCAUGUUCUUUGUGUGUUUUUUUUUUCAGCUGUUUUGAAUUAUAUGUAUACAUAUUUUGUUCUAAUCAGAGUGAAAAAGUUGAGCAAAUGAUGCUUGAGUCAAGCACAAGCCAUGCAAUUGUAUGUGAUAAGCUAAGGAAGGUGUAUCCUGGUAGGGAUGGGAACCCGCCAAAAAAGGCAGUUCGAGGGUUAUCUCUCACUGUGCCUUCAGGAGAGUGCUUUGGCAUGUUAGGGCCCAAUGGUGCUGGCAAGACUACUUUCAUCAAUAUUGUCAGUCCAUAAAAAAUUGUGCUUUCAAUUGAGCUUAGGUUAUGAUUGAAAAACACCCCUUGAAUAAUACAAGUUGUGUCGUAUUUUUUUCUGGUCAGAUGACUGGGCUUGUGAAACCAACAUCUGGAGCAGCUUUUGUUCAAGGUUUUGAUAUAUGCAAGGAUAUGGACAAAGUCUACACUAGCAUGGGUGUAUGCCCGCAACACGAGUAAUCAAGUUCUUAGAAACAUUUUGUUUUGUUUAAUUAUACAAAAGACCAUUUAGUUGUUUAUUAUUCUCAUUCUCUGUUUUUUUUAUACCACUAGCUUGCUAUGGGAAACACUGACAGGAAGGGAACAUCUGCUGUUUUACGGGAGACUUAAGAAUCUCAAAGGCUCUGAUCUCAACCAAGUAUGUUAUCAAUUUCACUUCCAUUCAAUAUAUUACUUCAAAAGUUAUCAAAAUAAUGUCACUUUCAUGGUUGCUCAUUCUAUUUCUCAUCGUUACUUACCUUGCAUUAGGCUGUGGAAGAGUCUCUUAAGAGUGCCAACCUUCUCCACGGAGGAAUUGCGGACAAACCUGCUGGGAAAUAUAGUGGGGGUAUGAAAAGGCGGCUCAGCGUAGCCAUUUCACUUAUCGGGAAUCCUAAGGUAUACCAUUAAUGUCUGAGAAUAUUGUUGCUUUAACCCAUGGCCUUUAAAAAAAGGACACCUAGAGAGUUAGGCUCUUUCAAGCCUAAAAAACUCGUCCUCAUUAUAUAUUUGAAGGUGGUUUAUAUGGAUGAGCCAAGCACAGGACUUGAUCCAUCCUCGAGAAAGAACCUGUGGACUGUCAUCAAGCACGCAAAAAAAAACACUGCGAUAAUCCUCACUACUCAUUCAAUGGAAGAAGCAGAGUUUCUCUGCGACCGACUGGGAAUUUUUGUUGAUGGAAGGUUACAAUGCAUAGGGAACCCAAAAGAGCUUAAGGGAAGGUAUGGUGGAUUUUAUGUGUUGACGAUGACAACAACAUCAGAACAUGAGAAAGAUGUGGAGGUGUUGGUUCGAGAUGUUUCUCCAAAUGCCAAGAAGAUAUAUCACAUAGCAGGGACACAGAAAUUUGAGAUCCCAAAAGACGAAGUUCGGAUCUCGGAAGUGUUUCAGGCGGUAGAGAAGGCGAAGAGCAAUUUCAAGGUGUUUGCUUGGGGUCUAGCAGACACAACUCUGGAAGAUGUUUUCAUUAAGGUUGCUAGAACUGCUCAAGCCUUUAAUGUCUUCUCUUGAAUCUUCUUAAAAUCAUCUUCUUCUUUUCUUUUCUUUUUCUCUUUAAUGUCAAUAUUUGUUUGAUAAAUUUGGGCAUGCAGAUAUUUGAUUAAUGUACAUUACUAGAAGAAAUCGGCUGAAAGUUUGUGAAAUUCUCUGAGGUUAUUAUAUGUUGCUUGUUUGUGGAUGAUUCAUGUUAAAAUUUUUUUUUUUGUAAACUAUGGUUAUAUAAAUUUUAGCUGAUAUGUGAAUGAUGAUGUUGAUACAAAAGUUGGCGUGGCUAUUGUUUUGGUAUAAAUAGGGGACUUCUCUGUUUGGGUACCAAAACAGGAUUCUGUACUUUUGAUUUGAUGCGAAAAAGAGAUUUUGCAGUUUUUAUGGUAUUAUGCAAAUCUCCAAUUACGGCACAAACUCAUGAGUUUUCUAUUUUCACGUAAAAUAAUGAAUUUACAUAAAAUAUGAAAUUUUUUUAUUCAGAAUAAUUAGUAGUUUUGGUGUUUUAAUUUAUGAGUUUUGUAAAGAUAGUUUGGUCUUUUAUUAUGUUAAGGUACAAAUUUUACAUCCAAACUGAGUAUAUUUUUUUACAUUCAUUAUUUUGAUGCAAAUGCAAUUGAUUUUGGAUAAGAAACGCAACAUCCAAAUGCAUAAAUCAAAUUGAUUUAAUUGAACAAUAUUUUGGCCAUGAUUUCAUACUAUAAUAGGAGCUGGGUAUUAAAUUAUACGAAAGGGAGAUUUAUAAAAAUAGGCACUUUUUAGGAGAGAGAUUCGGAAUUAGGCAUUACUAUAGAGAAAGGCACCACAGUACACACAAACAUCACUAUUUCUGACUCUUUUACCCCUGACUGGUGGACGAGAGUUUGAGUUGUGGUUGAAGGGAUUUUGGGCAUGACGUCAGAGGAGAGAAAGUGUUCUCCUAAGCCGAACAGUGAUCACGACGACAUCUCUGUGUCUUCUAUUCUGCUUUGUUAAAAACAUAAACAACUGAAAGAUUUCGUCGGAACUAGAUUUACGAAAACGGAGUUUAUUUUAACUCGGGUUAAAACUAACAACGAUGGCAUUCUUAGUGGUGGUGGAGAAGAUGUGAUGCAAUUAUCGACGACCGAAUCGAAGAAAGAAGAAUGAUAAUCUCUUUAUCGAUGAAGAUAUGAGAGGUAUGGGGAAGAACGCUUCUUGGAGUGUUCGCUCUUGCAAGCUCGGCUAUGGCGUCCCUUCUCUCCGUGGCUACAACUUGAAGACUCAUUUUUCCCUUUUUCUGGAUGUACAUCAAAUUGUCUGCAUCCACUCUGGGUUAACAUUCAAUUCCAGAAGACUAUAUCAAAGGGCAACAUCAUUAAGACAUAGUAAGUGUUCAAAGCUAAACCCUACAACCAAUGUAGAUGACUAAACCCAAGGGCAAUAUAUCUAACAGCUAGUGAGUGUUCAAAACUAAACCCUACAAGCAAUAGAGAAAACUAAACCCAAGAGAAACAAAUUUUACAGCGAGUUAGUGUUGAAGACUAUUUUUACUCAUUGAAACAUUUCAUCAAACACAUGAUAGGCAAUAACAGAUAUAAUCAUCAUCUAUCCAAAAAAAUAAAUCCAAACAAGAUCAGGUACACAAACCAACAUGAUUUUCAUUAAACUGAAUAUUAUCCUUCCAAAUUGAUACGAAAUUGAAAAAUCAAGCAAACAAAUUUAAAAUUGAAGCCAAACAUAGUACUAAAAAGACAGAGAACGAAAGAUACUCUCAAUUAAGAACUUCUUUUUCGUAUGAGCCAUUCGUUGCAAUCGGUGAAGCUCGCUCCGGUUCUGAUCGCCCCCAAUAAACGUUUCCAAUGUCACCCCUCUAAGCUAAUUCAUCAGCUUGAAAUCUUUAACCUCCAGACGCUCUAACCCGAGAUCGAAUCUUCUGAAGUGCGACCCAUCGCAUGUUGAUGCUGGCUAUGUGCGUGUCUUAAGCCCCGUCGCUUAAACUCGAUCUGAUGUCGUCUGAAGUGUGAUCAGCAGAAGUUUUGGCGUAGUAAAACAGUUUCCAAGUUUGCGUUUUCAAAUGGAGGAGAGAAGAAGAAGAAACAAUGACGUCAACCAUAGAAGGGCAAAAGCGUCAUUGUGGAUACUAAGAAUGCCUAAAUCCGAAAGGCAUUUGACAAAGUGCCUAUAUCCGAAAGUCAUUCUAAGAUUAAUGACUUUUUUUUUAAAUAACUCUAUACGAAAAUUAGACUGAUGGGACAGUAUCUUCAAGCAAAGAUAGGAUUGAGUUUCAGGGUGUUUGCUUGGGGACUUGCCGACACAACUCUUGAAGUCGUUUUCAUUUUAAGGUUGGGCUAGAACUUCUCAAACCCAUUGUCUUUUCUUAAAUCUUCUUAACAUUAUCAUUUUUGUCUUUUCAACGUCAAUAUUUGCUUCUUUAUGUUUAAUAAUAUUGGUCAUGUACAUUACUGGAAUUGGCUGCAAGCUAAGUAUGUGAGUUGUAAUUUCUAAGGUUUUUACCACUUGUUUGUUUGUGGAUGAUUUAUAUAAAACAAAACAUUUACAUAAGUGUGGGCUAUAAAUUUGUGAAUGAUGAUGUUUGUACAUUAGAAAAAAGAUGAUGCCUAUGCAAGAAAAUGGACUUGUCUGGUAUGUCGGAUUAUUAGCUGAAUAGCGGAAUAACUGAAUUAUAAAAUUAUAAAAUAGAAGAAUCAAUAGGACGACAAUUUUAAACAGUACAUAAAUGACUUUUUUAGAAACGCCUAAAACUACUAUGUAGUAGAUGAAUAGACUUUCUCAAAUUUAAUUAUAAUUUUAAAGCGUGUGGAAUAAACUGAAAAAUCACUUGUUGAUUUUCACUUUUUAUAAUUCAACACAAGUUUUUGUGAAUGGUAUGUAUUCAGCAGAAUCACGUUAUCACGUUUGAAAUGUGAAAAUGUGGUAUACCAUUCAAGCCCAAUAUUUUUCUUCUUUUUGCAUUAUUAGUGGCUUAGUGCCAACAAAAUUUUAGAGUUUUGUAAACUAUGGUUAUAUAAAUUUUAGCUGAUAUGUGAAUGAUGAUGUUGAUACAAAAGUUGGCGUGGCUAUUGUUUUGGUAUAAAUAGGGGACUUCUCUGUUUGGGUACCAAAACAGGAUUCUGUACUUUUGAUUUGAUGCGAAAAAGAGAUUUUGCAGUUUUUAUGGUAUUAUGCAAAUCUCCAAUUACGGCACAAACUCAUGAGUUUUCUAUUUUCACGUAAAAUAAUGAAUUUACAUAAAAUAUGAAAUUUUUUUAUUCAGAAUAAUUAGUAGUUUUGGUGUUUUAUGAGUUUUGUAAAGAUAGUUUGGUCUUUUAUUAUGUUAAGGUACAAAUUUUACAUCCAAACUGAGUAUAUUUUUUUACAUUCAUUAUUUUGAUGCAAAUGCAAUUGAUUUUGGAUAAGAAACGCAAUUUCGAUGCUGAAAAAAUAUUACAUAUUGAUGGUAAAACGUGAUCCAGCAGUUACGGCUUAAACUCGUGAGUUGUCUAUUUUUGACGUAAGAUGAUGAAUUUACAUAAAAUAUGACAUGUGAUUCAAGCAACGAAAAUAUAUAAGUAUUUCUUAGUCACAACAAUGUUUUACUUUGAACACUUAACGUUAGAGAUCCACAUGCCUAACGAUAAGUCAAUGAAAUUCCCGACAAUAUGUUUUAGAUUCGUGAGAUAUUUAUUUUCUACCCUACUUGACCACGCGCCUCAUAAGUCAUAAUAUUAUCCACGAUUUCCCCAUAAAUCUUACAACAUGUUAUAAAUUCUUCUUUGUAAUUAUAAUCAUAAUAAGCUGUCAAAACAAAAAAAAAAAUAAUAAUCUAUAUAUAAUAACAAUCUCAAUAAAUGUCUUUUAUAUUUCUGAACGGUUGUGUUUUUUUUUAUCAUAAUUUUUCGUUAAAAUAUUAACGGUUACUUUUUUUGUUGACGGUUAUUUUUUAAUUGUGUUUUUUUUUAAUCGCGAUUUUCCGUUAAAAUAUUGGCAGUUAUUAUUUUUUUUGUGUCUUUUUAUCAUAACUUUCCAUUAAAAUAUUAACGGUUAUUUUUUCUCGGUUGCGUCUUUUUAUUGCAAAUUUUCGUUAAAACAUUGACGUUUAUUUUUCUCGGUUUGAACUAUAUAGUAGUUCCUAAUUUUUUGUUCUUUAACAUAGAUUAUUUGUUUUAUGAUGAAUCCAAAAAAAAUAAUCUGUAAAAAUUGGCUCUAAAUUCUUUAUUCUCUAAACUAUUUUAAACAUACAUUAUUUUAAUAUUAAAAAUUUCUUUUUAUUUUUCAUCUAACCAAAGUUUUUUGGAAUGAUUAUAAAAAUGCAGAAAUGUUAAUCAACUUUAAAUAUAAAACUUUGAUGAAGAUACCAACAAUUUUUUUUAAGAAUUGGACGGAUUCUACAGAGAAUUUUUUUAUAUAACUAUUUUAUAUGGUAACAAUAAGGAUUUCUAUCUUAAGGCAAUAUAUAUGAGUUGUAUACAACAAAAUAUUGAUGCUGCAUUAACAGUAUUACAAAGUCUGAAUAGAGAAGACAUCCUCAUGUGACGCUUGUGAUUGAACGUUUUAAAUAUGGUAAGCGUCAAAUGAACUGUUUUAUAAAUCAAUAUCUCCAUUAUUAGGAAAAAGACAAUGAUUACAAUUCGUCACAUGAAUAUUCAAAGAAGAAGUUUUUUUACUCAGUUAAUUUAUCAAUAUAACUAUAAAUUUAUGAGAUCCUGUAAAUGUUUAUUUGUUUAUUAUAGAUGUAAUUUACGUCAUCAAAUUUUAUAUUUUCUUGAAUAUAUAUAAUAGAAUAAAUAUAAAUUUUAUAUUUAAAAACAGUGGGCAAACAAAAAGUGCCCAUUUUUGGAAGAAGUUCUUAGUCACCCACAAGUCGUACUGAAUACUGACUCCACCGAAUUUUUGGGUUUUGAUAUUAUAACUCUUCGUUAUGUAUUUUGUCACUUAUAAAUAAUUUACAUUCAUAAAAAGUGUUUCAAGAAAUCUUUUUAAUCAUAAUUUUUUUUUUUACAUUUUUACUCACUAAUUGUUUUAACAUCUUUGAAAAAUAUUUAUGAUAUAACUUUAAAACACAAUUAAUUUUAUGUAAUAAUUCAAAUAUUUGAAUAAUCUAAUACAUAAACACAAUCAAAUAUAUUUUUGUAAAUUAAUAGAUAAAUACAAAAAUUUGUUAAAAAUAAGUUCCCCGCGAUAUCGCGAGAGUUCAUAACUUUAGUAAUAAUAAUAAUAAAAAAAAAAAAACUCAUUCUACACCAUAAUUAAUGGCCUCAACCAGAAAUUUAUUGCUCGUUUUCUUGACAACUUCCUGAAAAUAAAUAAAGUUCUUCGUUUGUGGACAUUAUAAGUAACAGAACAUAUAUAGUUAAUGCCGUAAUGGCCCAUCCACAUAUAAAAUUCGCAAGUGGAAAUUAAAGCUAAGUGUGUCACAUGCAUGGAUCUUACUUUGAAUUCAUCAGGAAUCAAUGUGACCAAAUCUAAAAACAAACAGAAGAAAAAGACAAAAUCAAGAUUGCAGAAGCUUCAUCAAUGGCGAACCAUGUUCCCGCAAGUUUCUUGACCCGGGCCAAUGCCUUGUUCAGAAAAAACUUAACCUAUCAGGUUUGGCCAAACUUUUACAUGUGUUAGUUAUCUACUUGAUACAAAAUCCAUUGAUGUUACUAGUGAGAAUGACGUAGCUAUAUCGAUUGAUGUAGAAACGGAACAUGUGGAGCAAUGUUCGGCUCAUUGUGAUCCCUUUCUACCUAUGCGUACUUCUAGUGGGGAUUCAAGUCCUGUUUGAUACACAAGUUAAUAACUCUGCUGAUAAUCGUUGUGGUUGUCGAUGCAUCCACAAAAAUGGAGAUGGAAAAUGCGAAAGACAGAGUUGUGGUUUACAAUAUUCAUCUCAAACUCAAGCCUCAUUUUGUGCCUUUCCCAACCCUCCACCAUUGCUCCCGUUGUUACAAAUUCCGCGUCCUGAAUCUCGUUCAGUUGAUCAUACCCGUGGCUCGUGCAGACGGACCGGAUCUUGUCCUGUAACUAUACUUGUUACUGGGAAUAACCAUACCCUUGGAGCAAGUAUGUCUCUUAAUUACUUCAUUCUUCCUCUCUUAACUCUAAACCAAUUGAUAAUGAAUGGACUAGUCAAUGUAAAUUCCUAUAUGGAAUCCUAACAGUCAGUGGCGGAUCCAAAAAUUUAAUUUACGUGUAAGUGCGGAUGAGGUAAGAUAAAUUGUAGAAAGUAAACGAGACAAGAAAUUUGUUAACGAGGUUCGGUUUUUCCUACUCCCCGGGACCACGUCCAGAUUUCGAUUCCACUAGAACAAGAAAGCAAAUUACAAACAAUUCGCAAACGCGUAAAACAAGCCCAACCCUCUUGAUUUACCGCUCCCUUCUAUAACGUGAAACCUUAAGGAUAAUCUCUACCCUUAACUAAACUCCCCUUGAGUCUAGAUUUAAUCAGGAUAACCUAACCCUGAGCUAAACUCCCCUUGAGCCUAGACUUCAAAACAAAACCACUUGAUCACACAAGCACAAAACCCGCAAAACUAAGUUGCACAAAACCGCGAAACUAUGUCGCACACACCCUCUGAAAGCUCUCAAUGAUUUGCCUCUAUGCCUCAGCUCUCUUACUUCUCCAAGACGUCCUCCACUCCUCCUUAUAUAGCCAAAACGAUUUCCUAAUCACCAUAGGAGAAGAUUUCCAAUUUCCAUAAGAAAAAGUAAAUUUCCUUUUAUACUUUUCCUUUUUCUCACCAAACUCCACUUUCAUCAAGUCUUCCAAAUCUCUUUAAGUCCUUUUUCCUUUGUGAUUCAUCCUCUAAACACGCUCCAAACAUAUCUUCUCAAACCUUCUAGAAACCGACACUAACACAAAAACAGUCGCAUCUUGACUUACUUCUUGAAUCAUUCAGCAACUCCAUCAGACAAACUCUUGUAUUACUUCUUGACUCAUUCAACAACUUAAUCAGACUGCAGCUACAUCUUCAUUCUCCCCCUUUUUGACUAUGUUUGUGAACUCAACAGUUCUAACUCCAAAACAACAUCACGAAACACAUCAUCAUUCUCCCCCUGAAUGAGUCACAACAUGGUCAAAACUACUUAGAAAAUUCUCCCCGCUUUGCAAUACGAGGUUGAUAGCCUAGUACACCACCUCCAUAGAAAUCAUCUUUCCUAACCCAAAUCUUCCUGCGCCUUAAGCCUUCAUGACUGGAUUCUCGAAUGAAUCUGAAACAAUUCCUCUUAAUAUGCCCUUGAACUCCACAAUGAUAACAUGUAGGACCAUGAAAUCUCUAAUCAUAAGCAUUCUCCAUUCGAUUUCUCUCCCUCAACAAUCUGAAACACCUUGGCCUAAUAUGCCCAACAAUACCACAAUGAUGGCAAACAGGUCGAAAAACUCGUCGAGGUGCACUCUGCAGUUCUUUAACUUUUCCUGUAUCAGACUCUAUACCAGUUCUCGUAGUAGUUCUUGUACCGGAUGCAGUCUCUGCCAUAGUUGCAGUUUCUGACACACUUCCUGAUCCAGACGUGAUUUUUCCACCAUAAACAAACACUGGAUCCGAUUUUGAAAGUUUUCCUUCAAAUCCAAGGCCACACUUAUCAAUCUUGCCAAUAUUCAGAAUAUGAUCCAACUUCUUUGUGCCAUUAUUAAGCAUCCUCAAAUUCUUUUGAGUUUCUUCAAGUUGUACUUUGGCUUGUGAUGCUUCUUCUUCUUUUUCUGCAGCAUAUUUCUGUACUUCAAUGACUUUAGCCUCUAACUUGAGUUUCUCCUUAGUUAACACUGAAUUCUCUUCAACCAUUUCAAGCCAAUGCUCACAUAAGGCUCUAUAAUUCUCAGCAAAUUCUUCAUCAUCAACAAUCUCUGCAUCACUAUCACAUUCAUCGUUUUCACUUUUAAUUGCAGGUCCUGUUGCAGAUGCUGAUGCAGACCCUGUUGCAGAUGCUGAUGCAGACCCUGUUGCAGACACUGAUGCAGACACUAAUUCAGAGACUAACGCAGAUUCUAUAUCUGAACUAGAAUUGAAAGUUGUCAAAGCCACAAAAUUCUUCAGAUCUUCUUCUUCUUCAUCUGAAUCAGUUUCAGAAUCACUAGUGACAACAUUCAUGGCCUUCUUCUUAUGCUUUUGUAGAUUGGCGCAUUCCGAACGAACAUGUCCAUAUCCUUUGCAUUCAAAACAUUGCACAUUCUUUGAUGAACUUCUCAACUCUUCAUCAAUUCUAUCCUUCCUCUCUUUUCCUUUUCGUUUCAGAUAUUUAGUAAACUGUCUUGACAACAUAGCCAUUGAAUCUUCAGUUGAUGAUCCUUUAAGAGCAACUCCAAUGUCAACUUCCUUCUUCACUUCAUCUACCUUCUUCAUCUUUCCUUUAGCUUCAUAUGCUUUGCUUAACUCAAAAGCUUGAAGAAUCCCAACAAACUCAUCAAAAGCCAUCUCAUCUAGAUUAUGAGCUUCUUCAACUGCAGAAAUCUUUGACUCAAAUUCUUCACUAGCUUUUUGUCCUUGUAGACCUUUCCAAGAGCAAACGAUUCAUUAGAUAUGUCACAUAACUUUGCACUAAAAUCAGCCACAGUUUCCUCUUCUUCCAUCCUUAGAUUCUCAAAUUGCGAAGCCAACAUAUCCAAUUUCGUUCUCUUAACGCUUGUAGUACCUUCAAACAUAUUCUCCAAUGUCUUCCAUGCUUUUUGAGCUGAUGCACAUUGAGAAAUCAACUUAAAGCGGCUUGAAUCAAUAGCAUUGUAAAUCGCAGUCUUAGCCUUAGAAUUGCAACUUGAUAGCUUUUUCUCUGCAGCAGUCCACUUAUCUCUUGGCUUGAGACUUACAACUCCAUCAUCAUCCGUAACUUUAGGAGCCUCCCAACCAAGUUCAAUUGAAUUCCAACAAUCUUCAUCAAGAUUACUAAUAAAAGCUUGCAUACGAACCUUCCAAUAUCCAUAAUUCGCUGAAUCAAGAAGUGGUGGUCUUGUCAUAGACGUACCUUCCUUGUAUGACUCCAUCUCACACGAUUCACAGCUCUGUCUUACUUUCUGAACGAUCUCCUGAACAAUCUUCUGAACAAUCUCCUGAACCUCACCCUGAUCUACCCGAAACAAGACUAAAUCUCUAUCGAGAACCCUCUCUGAUACCAAUUGUAAGUGCGGAUGAGGUAAGAUAAAUUGUAGAAAGUAAACGAGACAAGAAAUUUGUUAACGAGGUUCGGUUUUUCCUACUCCCCGGGACCACGUCCAGAUUUCGAUUCCACUAGAACAAGAAAGCAAAUUACAAACAAUUCGCAAACGCAUAAAACAAGCCCAACCCUCUUGAUUUACCGCUCCCUUCUAUAACGUGAAACCUUAAGGAUAAUCUCUACCCUUAACUAAACUCCCCUUGAGUCUAGAUUUAAUCAGGAUAACCUAACCCUGAGCUAAACUCCCCUUGAGCCUAGACUUCAAAACAAAACCACUUGAUCACACAAGCACAAAACCCGCAAAACUAAGUUGCACAAAACCGCGAAACUAUGUCGCACACACCCUCUGAAAGCUCUCAAUGAUUUGCCUCUAUGCCUCAGCUCUCUUACUUCUCCAAGACGUCCUCCACUCCUCCUUAUAUAGCCAAAACGAUUUCCUAAUCACCAUAGGAGAAGAUUUCCAAUUUCCAUAAGAAAAAGUAAAUUUCCUUUUAUACUUUUCCUUUUUCUCACCAAACUCCACUUUCAUCAAGUCUUCCAAAUCUCUUUAAGUUCCUUUGUGAUUCAUCCUCUAAACACACUCCAAACAUAUCUUCUCAAACCUUCUAGAAACCGACACUAACACAAAAACAGUCGCAUCUUGACUUACUUCUUGAAUCAUUCAGCAACUCCAUCAGAUAAACUCUUGUAUUACUUCUUGACUCAUUCAACAACUUAAUCAGACUGCAGCUACAUCUUCAUUACGGGGGUCAAAAUUUUUCCACUCCAACUAAUCUUUCUUUUUUAGCUUUAUCUCAAAAUAUGCUCAGAACUUCUUUCACGGCGAACUCCUCUUCUGACCAUUUCUUGCGUAAUCUCGCAUACAAUGUCUUGGCAAGUUCUUCUCUGGUUGAUUUUCUUUUUUGCAUGAUCAUUAAUUAAGUCUCUAUCACUCAGGAUUUUUCAUGACUAUUGUAUUCAGGGUACAACAUCAAAAUCAGACUACACCAACUUCCAUGAUCCAGGAAUUCACUCAGAUCUUCCCAUCUUAAACAUCCAACCUCAGUGCACUCCAGCCACUACGUUCAAAUUCUCAUUCCGACAAUCACCUCUCAAGUUUCAUAAAGGUACAAUUAUGUUUACGUGUUGUCGUCACAACGAUUUUAAGAAAUUUUUAAAAGGUUACAAUGUGUUUUGUAAUUAUGUUUACAGCAUAUAACAUUAAACAGUCUAGUAGAACUAAUAUUGUUCUGUGUAAGUUUAAAUGUAAUCUGACUGCAUUCCAAGUCCCAAGUUAAUUUGUUAAAGAGAACAUUUUUUGUGCCUCACUCAAAGCUAACUUCUCAAAAAACAUUCUUGCAACUGAUUAACAUUUUCUUGCAAAUGAUUAACGUGUCAAAUCAGAGGUGAGAUGCGUUCAAGGAUUGAAUCUCUGGAGAAAUAACUCCGUAGAGGUCAACGAUGAGAUCUUCAAGGGUUAUCGUCAAGGAAAUCCUGAAAAGAUCAUCAAUGAGGUUGCUGCAGGUUAUUCCACUUCUCUUAUCAUUUUUCUAUGUUUAUAUUACAUAGGCAAUUUCUGACUCUUUCUCUGUUUUUUAGCAUAUGAUUUCUUGGACACCGAUACGAAUAACUUCAAUGUGACCAUCUGGUUUAACUCUACAUACAAGGAUGAUUACCGAGUACAACAGAGGCGUGUAAAGUAUGUCCGAGUUCCUCGCUCAGUAAAUUUGGUAAGAACUAUGACUACUUUUUUAGCUAGGAGGCUAGGAUAUAUCAUUUGAUCAAACACAUUCUUACUCUACAAAAACAAAAUGCAGGUUUCGAAUGCUUAUCUUCAAUUUUUGCGAGGCCCAGGGACUAAAAUGUUAUUCGAUUUUGUGAAAGAAACGCCUAAACAAGAAACUAAGCUUCACGUUGACGUAGCUUCUGUCAUUGGCCCCAUGUUCUUAACAUGGGUUAUUGUUCUUUUGUUCCCCGUAAGCAUGUUUUCAAUAGACAGAUUCAGUCUUGGAAGCAAUAAUCCUAUCAUUGGAUUUCAAUAGUUUGAGGCAUUUUCUAUUCAGGUGAUCUUAAACUCAUUGGUGUAUGAGAAGCAGCAACAUCUAAGAAUUAUAAUGAAAAUGCAUGGCCUAGGAGAUGGUCCUUAUUGGAUGAUUUCCUACGCCUAUUUUCUAGCCAUAUCCACGUUAUAUAUUAUAUGCUUGAUGAUAUUUGGGUCAGCAAUAGGUAUUGUCUCGUUGCCAUAUUUUCUUCUAUAUAUAGAACAUGUUUCAGAGCUAUAGUGCCUUGCAGGACUGAAGUUUUUCCGGUAUAAUGACUACGGUAUCCAGUUCGUUUUCUAUUUUCUCUGCAUAAAUCUGCAAAUCUCCGUAGCUUUUCUAGUUUCCUCAGCAUUUUCAAAGGUUGAGACAGCUACAGGUACUAACUUAAGCCACACGUUAACUAAAUGUGCUCAAGAACAUGAUGAUGUUAAUUAAAAGGAACACUCUUUGUUUUAUGGCUCAAUUGUAGUUGUUGCUUACCUAUACGUGUUUGGAUCUGGGCUCUUGGGCGGGUUCCUCUUCCAGUUUAUGUUGGAAGGUUUAUCGUUUCCCAGUAAGCUAUAUAUCAAAAACAAAUUGGAGAAGACCUAUUCUCAAAUACUGACCAGUGACUACAAUACUAAUAUAAUGUUUACUUUUUCCCCAGGAAGCUGGAUUUUUUUCAUGGAGUUGUUUCCGGGCUUCUCUUUAUACCGUGGUUUGUAUGAGUUCUCUCAGUAUGCUUUAAUCAGAAACGUGAAUGGGAGCGAUGGGAUGAAGUGGAAAGAUUUCAAUGAUAGUGCAAUGGAUGAAGUUUUCUACAUUAUUAUUGUCGAGUGGUUUCUCGCACUCAUUGCAGCAUACUAUAUGGACCGAGUUUCUUCAUCCGCGAAAGACCCUUUUUUAUGCUUGAAAUACACUUUCAAGAAAUCUCCGUCUAAACAUAGCUUGCAGAGACAGGGAUCUGCUCUUUCCGUUGAAAUGGACAGACUAGAUGUCGCUCAGGAGGUAUAACAACAAUGAUUAACAAUAUAUUACAUGUUCUUUGCUUUUUGUUUUUCUAGUUGUUUUGAUGAAAUUUGUUUUUGUCCUAAUCAGAGAGAAAGGGUCAAGCAGCUGAUGCUUGAGUCGAGCACAAGCCAUGCGAUUGUAUGUGACAACCUGAAUAAGGUGUAUCCAGGUAGGGAUGGGAACCCGCCUAAAAUGGCCGUUCAAGGGUUAUCUCUCGCUGUGCCUUCAGGAGAAUGCUUCGGCAUGUUAGGACCAAACGGUGCAGGGAAGACAUCCUUCAUCAAUAUGGUUGGUACACAAAUGGAUAGAAAAUCUUACGUGCUUAUGUUUUAACUGAAAACUCUCCGGUAAUGCAAGUUGUGUUGUAUAUUUUAUGUGGGGAAUUAUAGUGUUGAAAAUUUAUAGGUUCCCGACUUCAAAACAAUUGACAAUGAGUGGAGAUGCUUAUUAUAUCCUUAAAUACUCUUAUGUAAUAUUAUAUUUUUUUGGGCAGAUGACUGGGCUUGUGAAACCAACAUCUGGAAUAGCUCUUGUUCAAAGUUUGGACACAUGUAAGGAUAUAGACAGAGUAUACACCAGCAUGGGUGUUUGCCCACAACAUGAGUAAGUAAUUGUAUUCUUGGAAAACAGAUUAUUUUGUUUUAAUUGUCAUCGUUUUCUUGUUCUCUAUUAUGUAGCUUGCUCUGGGAAACGCUGACAGGAAGGGAACAUCUACUCUUUUACGGAAGACUUAAGAAUCUCAAAGGCUCUGAUCUCCACCAAGUUAGUUAUCAAUCUUACUUAUCUAAUAUAUUACUCCAAAAGUAUCAAAACUAAUUUAUAGGUUUAGGCUGUAGAGGAGUCUCUUAAGAGUGUGAACCUAUUUCGUGAUGGAGUUGCUGAUAAACCUUCUGGGAAAUAUAGUGGAGGCAUGAAAAGGCGAUUAAGCGUAGCAUUUCACUUAUCGGGAGUCCUACGGUACACCAAUGUCUCUUACUAAUCUACUGGAAAAAACUUAUAGAGAAACCUUAUUUCAUAUGAUUUUAGAGAGCUUUACCAAGCCCAUUUUUACAUUUGGUUUAUUUUUUUAAAAGGUGGUUUAUAUGGAUGAGCCAAGCACAGGACUAGAUCCAGCUUCAAGAAGGAGCCUAUGGACAGCCAUCAAAUCCGCAAAAAAAAACACUGCGAUAAUCCUCACUACUCAUUCAAUGGAAGAAGCAGAGUUUCUUUGUGACCGAUUGGGAAUUUUUGUAGACGGAAUGUUACAAUGCAUAGGGAACCCAAAAUAGUUAAAGGGAAGGUAUGGUGGAUCUUAUGUGUUAACAAUGACAACAUCAUCAGAACAUGAAAAAGAUGUGGAGAUGUUGGUUCAAGAUGUUUCUCCAAACGCCAAGAAGAUAUAUCACAUCGCAGGGACACAAAAAUUUGAGAUCCCAAAAGAAGAAGUACGGGUCUCGGAAGUGUUUCAGGCGGUAGAGAAGGCGAAAAGCAAUUUUAGGGUGUUUGCUUGGGGACUUGCAGACACAACUCUUGAAGAUGUUUUCAUUAAGGUUGCUAGAACUUCUCCGGCCUCUAAUGUCUUCUCUUGAAUCUUCUUUAGAUUAUCAUAUUUGUCUGUUCAACGUCAAUAUUUGUUAUUUCAUGCAUGUUUAAUAGUAUUGGUCAUGCGUAGAUUUGAUUUGUAUAUUGUACAUUAUUGGAAUCGGCUACGAGUUUGUGACUUGCGUCGGAGGGUUUUACCACUUGUUUGUUUGUGAAUGAUUUAUGUAAAACAAGGCUAGAUAAAUUUGUGAAUGAUGAUGUUGAUACAUUAUAAAGGAGAUGAUGCCCAUGAAUAAAAAUAAAGAAAUUGUUUUUCUUCGUUUAACAUUGUUUUUAUAAAAAAAAAACCAGGAUGAUAUGGGCUUUUAUCACCAAGUAAUCCCUUCAGGGUGAGUGUAGCUGUUGAACAAGACAUCAUUUUAACUGGAAAAAUAGAGUGAUUUAGUAGAUUUCGCGUUUGAAAGGAAUCGAUCUCUGACCUAGAUAUGAAGAUAUCUACAAGGCAACUCCUCCUCUUUCCACUUGACCACUAUCACUUGUUUUUUUUUUUUUUAACAUUGUUAGUGCAUGCCAACAAAAUUUCACAGUUUUGGUAUUAAAACGGAAUUCUGCAAUUUCGAUGCUGAAAAAAGUAUUACAGAUUGAUGGUAAAACGUGAGCCCGCAGUUACGGCGAAAACUCGUGAUUUGUUUAUUUUGACGUAUAAUAAUGAAUUUACAUAAAAUAUGAUGUGGCUUAAGCAAAGACAAGAUAUAACUAUUUCUCAGUCACACCAAUAUUUUACUUUUAAGUUUUAACACUUAACGUUAGAGAUCGACGUGGUUCUAACAAUAAGUCAAUGAAAUUACCCGACAAUAUUUUAUAGAUUCGUGAGAUAUUUAUAGUUUUACCCUACUUGACCAUGUUUUCCCAUAAAUCUUGCUAAACUUUUUAAAUUCUUCUUUGUAAAAUGGUAAGGUAGGCAAAAGUUCAGGAUCUAUUAUCAGUUUCAAAAAAUUUACUAAAGCUAAAAGGCCCAAUUUUUCCAAAAAAAUUGUUUAAUAAGAGAUUUUAUUUUAUUUUGAGUUUUGCCAUGGACCCCAUAAUGAAUCGAGACAGGACCGGCCUCAACCACCAUAUUAUAGAAUUCUAUUGCAAAGAUCACUCCUUUUAUUGGCAACUUGCUGCAACUUAUUGAAGUUCUUCGUUUGUUGACAUUAUAAGUAACACAAAAUAGUUAAUGCCGUAAUGGCCUCAACCACAUAUAAAUUAGCCAGUGGAAAUUAAAGUCUGUCACAUGCAUGAAUCUUACUGUGAAUUCAUCAGGACUCAAUGUCACUAAAUCUACAACAAAAGGAAAGAUAAAACAGAAGAAAAAAACAAAAUCAAGAUUGAAGAAGCUUAUCAUCAAUGGCAAACCAUAUUACCGCAAGUUUCUUUGCCCGGGUCAAUGCCUUGUUCAGAAGAAACUUAACCUACUAGUUUCUUAAUUUAGUCUCGUAAGAUAUACACAUAUCAUCACGUUACGUGAUACGUACCAUACAACGUUUCCGCAAAAUCUUAUAGUAAUUAACAUUAUAACUUAUCAAUAACUCACUCUCCACACAUGCUGGUUGAAAGAUUUUCUUGGUCGUCGUGGGAUUACUCCUUUCUUUGGCAACUUCUUGCAUAUUAUAAUUGAAGUUCUUCUUUCGUUGAAAUGACUAAUUAUUAAGAUAAAUACCAAUUUAUAAUUCGCAAGUGGAAAUCAAAAGGUGUCAUAUAGAUCGAAUUGUGAACUCAUAGAGUCAAAUCAGGACUCAUCUAUGGCGAAACCUGCUGCCGCCAGUUUCUUGACGCAAGCCAACGCCUUGUUCAAGAAAAACUUAACUUAUCAGGUACUUGGCCAUACAAUUCAUGCGUUAUCUAUAUAUACAUAUAGAAAAAUGUAAUUAUAUCUUGUUACCAUAUAUUGUUGUAGAAACGGAACAUAUGGAGCAACGUUAGGCUGAUCGUGAUCCCUUUGUACCUUUGUGUGGUUCUAGUGUGCAUUCAAGCUGUGUUCGAUUCACUGGUUAAUAACUCUGUUGAUAAUCAAUGUGGUUGUCGAUGCAUCGACGACUCCGACAAAAAUGGAGAUGGCAAAUGCGAAAAAAAAAAGUUGUGGUUUACAAUAUUCAUCACAAAACCAAGCUGUCUUCUGUGCCUUCCCUAACCCUCCACCAUUGCUUCCUUUGUUACAUAUUCCUCGUUCUUUUAAUCAUACCCGUCGUGACUCGUGCAAACGAACCGGAUCUUGUCCUGUAACCAUACUUGUUACUGGGAAUAACCAAUCCCUUGGAACAAGUAUACAUACUCUCCCUCUUUUAAUGUUUUUUUUUUUCUAUCACAAUAAAUGUUUUUUCCUUUCCAACUAAUCUUCACUAUUGUUUUAGCUUUAUCUGAGAAUCUUCUAAGUACUUCUUCCACGGUCAACUCCUCUUCUGACCAUUUCUUGCGUAAUCUCUCGUAUAAUGUCUUGGUAAGUCCUUCUCUGUUUGAAUUCUUAUUGGUUACCAUUAUUAUCAAGUCUCUCUAUCUCUCGGUGCUUUUUCAUGAAUUAGUAUAUUUAUAUAUACAGGGCACAACAUCAGAGACAGACUACACCAACUAUCGUGAUCCAGGGAUUUACUCAGAUCUUCCCAUUUUCAAUAUCCAACCUCAGUGCACCCCAGCCACUACAUUUUCAUUCUCAUUCCGACAACCACCUCUCGAGUUUCAUAAAGGUAUUCACGUCACAAAAUUAUGUGUGAAACCCUAAUCUGAAAACUGAACACUAAACCCAAAAUGGUGUAUAUAUGAACCCAACAAAAAAAAAAACUCUAAAUAUUCUAAAUUCAAACCGUAAUAAAUCAAUAUGUUUUAAUGGAAUCUGCAUUCCAUGUUCCAAGUUAUUUUGUAAGAGAUAACAUUCUUUCAUUGCGGCCUAUUGGCUUAAUGGUUAAUGUGUCAAAGCAGAGGUGAGAUGCGUUCAAGGAUUGAGUCUCUGGAGAAAUAACUCCGUAGAGGUCAAUGAUGAGAUCUUUAAGGGCUAUCGUAAAGAAAAUCAUGCAGAGAUCAUCAAUGAGGUCGCUGCAGGUUAUACCACUUCUCUUAUCAUUUACCUCUCUAUUUUACAAUUAACUUCUGACUCUUUCUCUGGUUUUAUUAGCAUACGAUCUCUUGGACACGGAUAGGAACAACUUCAAUGUGAACAUCUGGUAUUACACGACAUACAAGGGAGAUUUUCAAGAUUGGCGUGUGAAGUAUGUCCGAGUUCCUCGCUCAGUCAAUUUGGUAAGAAACUACGUUCGUGUUGUAUGUUAGGAUUCUACAUAGAAAUUGUGGAGGAACCAACACUAAGAUAAAUAGCAUUGGUCACUCUAUAUGUAGGACUGAUCUUUUGAUCAAACUCAUUCUUAGACUCGGCAAAACAUUGCAGGUUUCGAAUGCUUACCUUCAGUUUUUGCAAGGCCCAGGGACAAAGAUGUUAUUCGAUUUUGUUAAAGAAAUGCCUAAACAAGAAACUAGGCUUCGCAUGGACAUGGCGUCUCUCAUAGGCCCCAUUUUCUUCACAUGGGUUAUUCUUCUUUUGUUCCCUGUAAGCUCUUUUUAUGUGGACUACUUCAUACUCUUACAAGUAUAUGAUGAUCCUAUCAUGGGAAUUUUUUCAUGGGAAAUAAUUUAACCUGGUCUGGUUUGCGAAUCGAAGAGAUUAUGAGCCUAGGCCCAUAAUUGUUUGGUUAAUAGGCUUUUUCAAUAGUUAUAAGCAUUUUCUAUGCAGGUGAUCUUGACCUCAUUGGUGUAUGAGAAGCAGCAACGUCUAAGAAUUAUAAUGAAAAUGCAUGGCCUAGGAGAUGGUCCAUAUUGGAUGAUAACCUACGCCUAUUUUCUCGCCAUAUCCACGUUAUACAUUAUAUGUUUGAUGAUAUUUGGGUCAGCAAUAGGUAAUGUAGAGUUGACUUAUCUUAUGUUAAUAUUUUCUUAUGUAUACAUAAAUCAAGUUUCAAAGCUAUAGUUUGUUACAGGACUGAAGUUCUUCCGGUCCAAUGACUACAGCAUCCAGUUCAUUUUCUAUUUUCUUUAUAUAAAUCUGCAAAUCUCCAUAGCCUUUUUAGUUUCCUCAGCAUUUUCAAAGGCUGUGACAGCAUCAGGUACUAACUGAAGUCACAUUUUUUUUCAAAUUUGGUCGGGAACAUGCGGUGUUAAGGAGAAACACUUUCUGUUUUAUGCCCAAAUUGUAGUUGCUGCUUACAUGUACGUGUUUGGAUCUGGGCUAUUGGGCGGGUUCCUCUUCCAGUUUCUGAUGGAAAGUUUAUCGUUUCCUAGUAAGCUAUCAAGAACAACAUGAAAAAGACAUUCUCAAAACUGACCACAAUGGCACUAUAUAAUCUUUUAUUUUUUACCAGGACGCUGGAUAUUUGUCAUGGAAUUUUAUCCCGGCUUCUCAUUAUACCGCGGGUUGUAUGAAUUCUCCCAAUAUGCUUUCCAAAGAAACUUGAAUGGGAGGGAUGGGAUGAAGUGGAAAGAUUUCAGAGGUAGUGCAAUGGAUGAAGUUUUCUCUAUCAUUAUCGUUGAGUGGUUUCUCGCACUCAUUGCAACAUACUGCAUGGACCGAGUUUCGUCAUCAGCGAAAGACCCUUUUGCAUUCUUGAAAAACCCUCUCAAGAAAUCUUCUUCUCCACAAAGGCCUAGCUUGCAAAAAGAGGAAUCUUCCGUUUCCGUAGAAUUGGAGAAACUGGAUGUCAUUCAGGAGGUAUUGCAAAAGAAUUUACAACCCAUUCCAUGUUCUUUACGUUUUUCGAACUGUUUUGGUGAAAUAAAUUUGUUCAAAUCAGAAAGAAAAGGUCCAGCAGUUGAUGCUUGAGCCGAGCACAAGCCAUGCGAUUGUAUGUGACAACCUGAAGAAGGUGUAUCAAGGCAGGGAUGGGAAUCCGCCUAAAUUGGCAGUUUGUGGCUUAUCUCUCACUGUGCCGUCAGGAGAAUGUUUCGGCAUGUUAGGGCCCAAUGGUGCCGGAAAGACCUCGUUCAUCAAUAUGGUUAGUACCCAAAGGGACAGAUACAAAUCUUGUGUGCUUAGCAUACUCCUUACUAACAAAGUGUUAAAUUUUAUAUAUAUAUAUAUAUAUAUAUAUAUAUAUAUAUAUAUAUAUAUUUUGGCUAGAUGACUGGACUUGUGAAACCAACAUCAGGAUCAGCUUUUGUUCAAGGUUUAAACAUAUGCAAGGAUAUGGACAAAGUAUACACCAGUAUGGGUGUUUGCCCACAACACGAGUAAUAAAUUAAAUUCUCGAUAAUAUUUUUUUCUAGUUGAAGAUCAUUAUCAAGUUUUAUGAGCUUCCCAACUCAAAAAAUCAGUUUGUAAUCAUAUAGUUGUUUUAUUGUUUCUUAUUGUUUGUCAUUUAUCAGCUUGCUCUGGGAAACAUUGACAGGGAAAGAACAUCUUUUCUUUUAUGGAAGACUUAAGAAUCUCAAAGGCCCUGAUCUCGACCAAGUAUGUUAUCAAUCUUACUUCUAUCCCAUAUUAGCGCAAGAUUAUUAAAACGUCAAAUUAUGGUUUAUUAUUAGGCUGUAGAAGAAUCACUUAAGAGUGUGAACCUAGUUCGCGGAGGAGUUGCUGAUACACCUGCUGGGAAAUACAGCGGAGGAAUGAAAAGGCGGCUAAGCGUAGCCAUUUCACUUAUCGGGAGUCCUAAGGUACACCAAUGUCUCUUACUCCUCUCCUACCUAAAAACUGAUUGAUAAGCCCUUGUUUGCAUGUGAUUUAGAGAGCUAUAGUUUUUCAAGCUUUAACAAAUCAUUUUUCCAUUUGGUUAUUAAAUAAAAGGUUGUUUAUAUGGAUGAGCCAAGCACAGGACUUGAUCCGGCUUCAAGAAUAAACUUAUGGACAGUCAUCAAACGCGCAAAAGAACACACAGCUAUAAUCCUUACAACUCAUUCAAUGGAAGAAGCAGAGUUUCUUUGUGACCGAUUGGGGAUUUUUGUUGAUGGAAAGUUACAAUGCAUAGGGAAUCCAAAAGAGCUGAAGAAAAGGUAUGGUGGAUCCUAUGUAUUAACAAUGACAACAUUACCAGAACAUGAAAAAGAUGUUGAGACGUUGGUUCAAGAUGUUUCCCCAAAUGCAAAGAAGAUAUAUCACAUCGCUGGGACUCAGAAGUUUGAGUUCCCAAAGGAGGAGGUUCGCAUCUCGGAAGUGUUUCAGGUGGUGGAGAAGGCCAAGAGCACUUUCAGGGUGUUUGCGUGGGGACUUGUGGACACAACUCUUGAAGAUGUUUUCAUCAAGGUUGCUAAAACCAGUCAGGCCUUUAAUGUCUUCUCUUGAAUAUUCGUAAGAUUAUUAUUUAUGUAUGUUCAUGGUUAAUAAAAUUGAUAAUGUAGAGGUUUGUAUCAUGUACAUUGUUGGAUGUUGGCUGCAAGUUUGUGAAUUUCUUCGAGGUCUUUUUGUAACUUGUUUGUUUGUGGAUGAUUUAUGUAAUGCAAAAUAAUUAUGUAAACCGUGGCUAUAUAUAAUUGUGGAAGUUCCACUGCCGCAUAUGAAAUUAAGUUUCAUAUACCAUUUAGAUCCUAAAUGUAUAUAUUUCUAAGGUUUACGAAUUAAAAUUUUUAAUUUCUAAAACAAUUUUUCUAUACAAAUAAAAGUAAUUAGGUUUUAGCGGUUAAAUUUUACCUUAGUCUUUAAAGUGUGUUUGGUUAUUAAUUAUUUGAUCUGAGAAAAAUUGAGGAUGGGAAAAAUUAUAAUUUGAGGGAACCCAUAGGCCAUGAUUAAGGAUGGAUGACUUUUUUUUUUUUUUUUGAAUGAAUGUAAAAUUUAUUUAUCAAAAAAGUCGGUGUUAUAUCAAAUACUUCAGUUUCGAGUGUAAAAAACUUUCUUAUAUAUAUUACAAGGAUGGAUGCCUUAAUUUCAUCUGAAGGAGCUUAAACACAAGAUAGAUUUAGCAUCUUGGUGGCUCAUGAGCUUCUCACAUUUUGACAGGUAACACAAAAUUUAGGUUUAGGAAGAAAUUCACAAACAAACAAGUUAACUUUUAACCUGAUUUUUUUGUAAAAGAAAAAACAUUAUCAUGAACAAAUUCAAACCGAAACCAAAUCAAAGUAAAUUUAUUUUCUUUGUAAAAUAAGAGUUGAAAAAAAUGCUACUAAUUAAGACUUUUAUGAUUUUUUUAAAAAAAUUUGUGCAAAGACUUUUUAUGUUUUAAAACUGAAAUAAGACUGCUGUUAAAAACAAUAAACUGAGAUAAGACUUUUCUUCUGACAUCAUAACAUAUUUUCUCCUUUAUAUGGGAUCAUACAUUGCUUCUUGUCCAAGUAACUUAACUGCCACAUUGGAAAAUGUUUGAAUUUUGAACAAAUCUUUUUUAAUUAUUUAAAAUGGUCAAAAAUAUCAUAGUCAACCAAAUUUACUGGAUAGUUUUACGUGAGACAUUAGAAUAGAAUAGUUUAAUGAAUUACGUUCACACGUGAUUACGUCUGAAAUGACGUAUUAAUCAUCAACUAUGCCAAAUUAAAAACUUUAUAUCAAAUAUAAACAAAUAAUUGAAACUCACCUCUUCCAUUAGUUGAAGAAUCUAUUGGGUCGUGGGAUCACUCUCCUCCGCAGCUUCCUACCAAAUUUACAUUUCAAUCUUUCUUUAAUUGUCACUUUCUUGAUUUCGUUGAAUUUACCUUUUUGUUGUUUGACCAAAAGAAUAAUCCCAAAAACUUUAAUACUAAUAUAUCAACUGAUAAAGACGUACUUAACGAAAAUAAUAAAGCGUGUGCAUAAGGGUAUUAUCGUAAUUUCACAUUCCGUAUCUGAUCUCUGUUCUUCUUUCCUCCGCCUGCUACUAUAUGAACCCAAAAGGCGGUGAUUGGAUUUGGUUCGUUCUAAGUUCAAAAUUAGGAUUCAAUUUUUACUAACCCAAAAGAAAACAGAAACCUAAAAUAAUUUAAUUUAGCGUUAAUAUUCAAAUAGAAGACACAGAGAAAAGAGCGAAGAUUACCAAAAUCGUCAUCAAUGGCGGAUCCUGGUCCUGCCAGUUUCUCAACGAGAGCCAAUGCCUUGCUUAGGAAAAACUUAACCUAUCAGGUACUUUUUGCGUUUUCUUUUCCUCCACGCAAUCCAAUUAUAUACAUACAAGUUUUCGGAUUUUCGAUUUUGCUACUCGCGAAAACUUGAUGGAUCAGUUUCUACAAUAACAUUAGUGGCUAAUCUAUUGAUUAUCCGACGUAAUCACAGAUAAUUUGAUAUAAUUUGGUAAUCAGAUAAACUUAUCUCAAAGUUCAAUUGAUUAUCGAAUUUAGUUACAGAUAUUUUGCUAGGAUGAUUAUGUUGUUGUUCUAAUUCGUCAUUUGUGUAAAUUAUGUGUUGGUGUAGAAACGGAAUCUAUGGAGCAAUAUUCGGCUUAUCAUGAUCCCUUUCUACCUCUGUAUACUUCUAGUGAUUAUACAAGUCCUGUUCGAUACAAAUAUUAAUAACUCUGCUGAUAAUCGCUGUGGUUGUCGAUGCAUCGUCAGAAAUAGAAAUGGAAAAUGCCAAAGAGAGAUUUGCGGUUUAGAACAUUCUAAACCGGAUCAAGCUUUCUUUUGUUCCAUCCCUAGUCCUCCACUAUGGCCUCCAUUGUUACAAAUCCCGCGCCCUGAGAGUCGCGCUGUUAGUGAUCCUGCUGAUGAUGGUAGUGGUCUUCCUAAUGACUCUUGUAGACGAACAGGAUCUUGUCCUGUUACUAUACUGUUUACUGGAAAUAACCGUUCCCUUGGAACAAGUACGUCUCUUCUCUACAUUUUUUCUUCUCUUCUUUCAGUAUAUUCAGUAUUUGUAUUCACUGUAACACUUAUCUUCAUGUUUUCUCUAGCUGUAUCUGGGAAUCUGCUCACUAGUUCCUUAUCUGCGAACUCCUCUGACAUCUUGCUUACUUUAGCUAAUAAUGUUUUGGUAAGUUCUUUGGUUGGAUUCUGUCUGUUUCCAUUAUGAAGUGUGUGUGAUUAUGUUUCUUAGCUUUCUUGACCUCAUGUUUCAGGGUACAUCAGUUGAGGCAGAUUUCACCAAUUAUCUUGAUCCUGGGAUUGCCUCAAACCUUUCCAUCUACAAUAUCCAACCUCGGUGCAUUUCUAAUGCUACGUUCCCAUUCUCAUUCGAACAACCACCUCUCAAGUUUGAAAAAGGUAUUCAGUUUUCAAUCCCAUAGAUGUUUAAUUAAAAAUGUUUUAGAAGGAUAAUGAAUGUGAGAUAGGUAAUUUAGUUGCGUUCUUCUGUAUGCAUAUCGCAAGUUUGUUAAACAUGAUAUCUCUUUCUUCCAUAUAUUGCCCUCACUCAAAGUUAUCUUUUCUUGCUGUCGAAUGACUUAAUGUUUGUGUCAAAACCAGAGUUGAGAUGUGUUGAAGGAUUCAAUAUCUGGAAAAAUACCUCCAUAGAGGUCAAUGAUUUGAUUUUCAAGGGUUAUCGGAAAGGAAACCCUGAGGGGAAGAUAAAUGAGAUCUCUGCAGGUUCGUCAACUUCUCAGUCGGUUUAUCUAUAACAGUGCUUAAUAUGCACAUGAGAUUUCUGACUCUUCCUGUCUGAUUUUUUUUUGUUGCCUUAGCAUAUGAUCUCUUGAACACUGAUAGGAACAAUUUCAAUGUCCACAUCUGGUAUAAUUCAACAUACAAGGACGAUUCAGGAAAUAGACUUACAAAGUUGGUCCGUGUUCCCCGCUCAGUCAAUUUGGUAAGAAAACAACAUUGUACUCAACAUAUCCUCAUCAUUGUAUUAACGCUUUGCUCUUUACCAUCUAGCACCAUUUUCUUGAUUGAACUGAUGCUUACUCUUUGCCAAACUGCAGGUGUCAAAUGCUUACCUUCAAUUUUUACAAGGCCCGGGGACAAGGAUGUUGUUCGAAUAUGCCAAAGAAAUGCCUAAACCAGAAACAAGUCUUCGUCUGGACAUCGCGUCUCUAAUUGGCCCCCUUUUCUUUACAUGGGUUAUUCUUCUUCUGUUCCCUGUAAGUUUGCCUUCAAUAAUAUUCACCCUGAUGUAUAGUAAUCUAUAAAUCUUGGAAACAACAAGAAUUCUGCUUUCUCCCAGCGUAAGAUACGAAAUUCAUAUCUAGAGCCAUUUGUAUGCAGGUGAUAUUGUCGUCAUUAGUGUAUGAGAAACAGCAACAUCUAAGAAUUAUAAUGAAAAUGCAUGGCCUAGGAGAUGGUCCUUAUUGGAUGAUUUCCUAUGCCUAUUUCCUUACCAUAUCCGUGUUAUAUGUUAUAUGCCUGAUGAUAUUCGGGUCAGCAAUAGGUAACUGAAGCCUCUCUGUCUUUAUAUAUUUCUUACAUUAGAUUUUCUAUACAGAUUUUUUUUCCAAUAUGGGUCUUUAUAGUUGCUGGUUCCAUGCAGGACUGAAGUUCUUUCGGCUUAAUGCCUACAGCAUCCAAUUCGUAUUCUAUUUUCUCUAUGUGAAUCUGCAAAUCGCCCUUGCCUUUCUAGUUUCUUCAGUAUUUUCAAAUGUCAAGACAUCAACAGGUACUAACAACAUCGUGCUUCUUGAAUUUGAUCAAGAACAUGUCGGGGUUUAAAGGAACUAAUGAGCUUUUCUCAUAUAUCUUAAUCAUAGUUGCUGCUUACAUAUACGUGUUUGGAUCUGGACUUUUGGGCUUGUUUCUACUCAACUUUCU